AGGUCGUACCCAGUGCACAAGGCUCCCGCUUUACGCAGGGUCUGGGAGAGGUGAAUGUCGGCUAGCCUUACCCCCAUUUAUGGAGAGGCUGCUCCCAAGUCUCGAACCCGAGACCUACCGCUCAUGGGCGAAGGCACUUGCCAUCGCACCAAGUGCGACCUCUACUUGAUUCUAACAAACAAACAAACAAAAUUUGACCAACAGCAGCAGCAGAGAAUCAGACUAAGAGAAGGUUGACCCAUCUAUCAAUAAAAAAAACUACCAGCCCUGUCAAGGUAGCUGUAUUUGAAGUAGUAUUUAACGCAAAAACAAAUCAGACAUGACCACCAUAAUGCAAUGUAUCUAUGUUAGAAACAACUACAACAAUCAUGGAUCUAGAGUUUUGUUGCAAAGAUGGACAUGGACAUAGCAAGCAGCUACCGUAUUUUUGUAAACAGAAAAAGUAAAAGGUCAUGUUGACCUGAAGGGGACUCAUGAGCAGCCAACAAAGAUAUCCUAUUCUCUGUCAAUGCUUCCUCUUCAAAACGUUCUCGGCCCUCAAGUAAUAUACUUAGAUACUUAUACAUAUUGCUCUGAAUCAUGAGUUUGAUGUUCUGCAGCUCUUCGGAAGUGAACUUGUUCCCGUAUAAGAGCUUAGCCUGUUCCAUGGGUAAAAGAAGGAUGACAUAAGCAUUUUUAAGAUGUACUGUCCAAGAAAUAAAGCUUUCAAAGUUCUGAUACCAAAAAAAAGCGAAUGAAAUAAUAAACAGCAAAAACAAAAGCACCAAGCCCUAGGGGCUUUUCGCUAACCGGUCUUCAAGGUAUCAUGCAGUUUGAUUAUCCACAAAAGGUAAGUUAAUACAUUAAAUGGACUCCAAUCCUAUUUUAAUAUCCCUGUUUUCCCUUGGUUUUGAAUCUAAAUCAUUCACACAAAACCUAAUGACUCACAAUGCUACAUGUCAGCACAUCUAUGUUAAAUGUUUAAAUUAAUGUUUUCCAAGGUGAAUGCCCACAUUUACCAUACUUGCAAUAUAUCAGUGACUGAGCUAAUUGGAUUUCCCCUGCUUCUAAUAAUGUUCUUGAUCCAUUAAAACAUGCAGCAUCUUGGCUACUUCCAUGGUUUUACCAUACUUGCUAAAUUUCUAGACUCCUAGUUGGGGUUGUUCAGUCAAAAAGAGCCAAUGGUUUCAGUGAAAGAUUGCAAACCAUGUAAUGACAUAUGGGAAGAUAAGGUAAGUUCACUAUCAUGGUAAAGGAAACACAUUUUAAUUGUCAACUGAUGAAAUAUGUCACGAGUCAAAUUGAAAACAAGGUAAAUGCAACUACUAACAUCUUUGCAUUUAGCGAAAGCAGUUUUAAAUAUUUUAUAGUUGCAUAACUGUAAACCAAUGAGGAACCAGACACCGGAUAGAGCAAGUCUAUUCAAGUCUUGCUUGACUAGAUCAGACACUAGGAAACACGUAAACUCAAAAAGACGUGUACCAUGCAAGGCACCCUGAAGAGAAGGGGGGCAAUACCUGCUUGAAGAUGGUGCUAGUUCCAGAUCCCUCCAAGCCAAAUAACAGAAGUUUCUGAACUCUUCCCUGUUCCCAGAAUUCCCGGACUGACCUGCUUGAAGGUGUCAUCGGAUCUUCUUGUGCCCCAUUUUGAUUACCAGGUGGUACAGGCAAUGAGAAUAAUGAACAAAUGAAACGAGUGGAUGCCUGCCUACCAAAAACCAAACUGCAAGAGAAUAAAAAUUCGACUCACAAUAAUCUGUCACAAUUUCAAACGUGCACCAAACAACAAUUAACCAACAUUCAAGGUACGAAAGAACCUUUCCCCAUAUAUUCCCUUUAAUGUUAUUCUGGCCUUCCUCCUCAUAAGAACCAUCAUCAUACACCCAGAAAUGAGUAUCCGGAGGGCACUGCACUUUGGCCAGCUGAGAUGCAAGUGAAAAGGAAAAUGAUAAGCUUUGUCGUAUGUAAACAAAUGAUUUAUGCAAUCACCAAAAAAUAUGAAGAAGCUUCUUCUUAUUGUUAACUUUCAUUAGAGACUUUCAACUAGACAGAUGAUUAUCUUACAAACUUACUUAUUAUGGAAAAUCCUAUAGUACGAAUUCACAUUUGCAACCAUUGGAUUGACAGAUUCACUUUUUCAUACUAGGGGUUUAGGGUUUAGAUUUCCAAAUUAUUGUUGCAUUUGUUUGUAUUGAAAACGGAGCUCUACUACCAACAUACUCAUUCAUUAUGGACAUUUAGGUAAUACCUUCAACACCCUACGCUCAAUCUUUGUGAUCUCUCGGCCAUUCAUGAACACUUUGGUGUUCCCAUUGCUUGCAUCAAACCGAAUCUUACCCCCAACAUUGAGUUUCGAGCUAAUAAUCCUAUCCGGCUUCUCACCCUCCUGAAAUCAAGCACACAGGACUAUAAACAUACAAAGCACAAAAAACCCUACUGCAAAUGCUCAUCCAUUUGCUAAAAAAAAGCUCACCUUUCCCCAAAGACCGGAAUCCUUAUCGUACCAAUACCUCCCAGGUUUCAACUUCUGAGGAGGCAAUUCACAUCCCAAAAUCUCAGCCAGUUCUUCUUCCCUCAGCUUGCUUCCAUUCACAACCAACUGCUCCGGCCGAAGCUGAUUGGCGGGGCACUCCUUCUCGCCCCUCAUUAUCUGCCGAAUCUCCAAAGGGCUGCAAACCCUCGACAGGAUCCUCGAACACUUCCCCAAGUUCGACCUCUUGGACUCGUCUAUUGGCUGCCCAAUGCAGCUCACACAUUUCCUCCCCUCCGGCAUCGACCCCAUCGCCUUCAGCAAGCAAUUGCUGCAGUACUUGGCGUCGCACACCAAACACCACUCUCUCUCCUUCAAUCUGUUCCCUUUCCCGCACCUGCUGCAAAUCCCUCUCUUACUCGAUCGCCUCCCGGGCGAAGAGGCCCCUACAACCGGCGAUCCCACCUGUUCGGUGGCCGCGCUCGAUUGCGGGGACGAGUCGUUAUCUUCACCCUCGUCCUCGUUCUCCGAAUCUCUUGGUUCAUUGAAAGUGACGACAGCCGCCCUCUUUCCUCCGGUGGCGCCGCCGGUCGGUUUGUGCUCCAAGUUCGAGUCUUGAGCCGGCAACUCAGAGCUGAAACCUUCCUCUGCUCCUUCAAAUUCCGAUCCUUCCCUGCGGUUUCGCAGCUCCGGUUGCGUCCGCGGAGUCGAAGACGACGUCGUUCUACUCGUCUCCUUCACAACGCCGCCGUUACUCACCCGACUGAACCGCGAGACCUUCUGACCGACCGGCGACGCCACCGGAAUCGAAGACGGGGCUUCAACCGAACCAGCGGUCACGGAAGAAGAGUAAAGAUCGAGAGAGUCGAGGUUAACCGGAUCAACCUUGGGCGGGUCGUAGUGCAGAGGAGAGCCUUCGUAUUCGACGGCGAUGGAGUAGUCGAGGUGCUCUUCGUCGGGUAAUGGUGCGCCGGCAGGCAGCAUCUUUCUGAGGAGGUCCUCCCAGCUCUUCCCGCCCUCCGGUUCGGAAGCCAUGGCGGGGCGCAGGGUGUUUGGUUCCCGAGAAAAAAGCUCGAGAAAAUGAAAUGAAAGGUAAUUGCUUUGCCGUACAAAGCAGUUGGGGGGAAGCUAGAGAGUGGGGGAUAAGAGUUGAGAAAUGUCAACGAUGACGUUGACAAUUUUUUCACAUUUCAAAUUGAUGUUUUUGGAGUUUACAAAUAAUUAAAAAUAAGUACCAUUGGAAAUUGACAGUUGAUUACUUUUGGUGAAACCAAAGUAAAUACGUUUAUACAUUGAGUUGCUAAUGUUUGUUGGUCGAGAAAAAUUUGGCACGAGAUGUCAAGAUGACGUUAUCCUUACCUCUCGCAGAAUAGAAUUUUGGUGUUUUAGUGUCAUCUUCGUACUCCGUAUUAGUAUUACUGGUAGGAGAGUUGCUCUAAUCAAGAUAUUAUUGAAACUGGUGCUUAAGCAAGAAGUACAUUUAGGGAGAUCAGUCAGUGCACAUAAGUUACCAGCAACACCGGGUCUUGGUUUUUCGAAAUCUCCCUAACAGACUAUUAGUACAGUUUCAAUAAAAUGAGAUGCUAUACACUAACUUCCGUCGCUGCUGUUUCUCAAAACCAGAUACAAUAUCAUCAAUUGAUUCCUCCCACGAUUCGGCUGCUUCGAUCUGGAAAAAAAUUAACGAUAAUGUACCCGUCAGCAUUACUAUUUUGCAUUACAGAUUAUGGGGUGUCAAUGCAACCAUAAAUACAGACCUCUUGGCAAAGAUCUAAAGCAAGACGAGCUCCUACAGCCGCCUCCUCGUGGUUAUCUUUCACCUCCAAGUUGAUUAUCAGCACACAUUUCCUAAGAACAUGGUCCCGGUUGUUGAGAUCUAUACAUUGUUGCACACGGGUCAGACAAGCAAACAAGGAUGGCAUCUUCAAGUUACAGAUUAACUGCACAAAUCUUCUUUUAGUUUUCAUAAAACUAAAAGAUAAACCAAAGUAGAUGGUGCCAAUACUUUUGAAGCUUUUGUUAGAGUUUGGACUAAAAGUUCAAAGUUCAAAUAUAAGUCCAUAUGAUUCAUUUGGUUGUGUGAAUUACAUCAAGCGAAAGAUUAUGAAAUCAAAUCCACAGAGAAAUCUGAUCAAAACCCAGUUAAGUUAUUCAAUUUCCAUUUUUUAGGCAUAAGUAGAGUCUCUCCCACCUACAGCCUUCUCUGCGAAAAAUAUCACCACGUAUACAGCAGGCAGACUCAAGCCAACAAAUUUCAGCAUUCUCCCCUACCAUCCAACUUGGGUUUUCAGUUCAAAAUAAAUUCUUCCACAUAUGCUCAACUAAACAGAAACUUUCAACCAUCCAAUAUGUUAUUUUUUAUCAAAACUCUCUUGAGGUUUAAACUUUAUCUUUUCCUUGAGGUUCAUUAACCACAAGUUCCUAGAACCAGCAUCUCUGUUAUAUGUAUAAAAUCUAAUAAUCCUGGGAACCUAUAAACUCAAAGUUCUUACUUUCUUACAUUUCCCAGAUGGAAAAAGAAUCCAUUUCAAAUAUCAAUCGUUGUUUGUUACCAUCUCCAAUGAUUACGUUAAGCUGAAAGAAAUUGCAUGCCUAUAACUUAAGAGCUCAAACUCUACCAGCUAGUCAUAUUCCAACAGCUCGACAGAAAGAGAUUGCCAAGAAACAAUACUACCAACACAAAGAAGAGCAUUUAAUUAAUUGAUUAUCGAAUUACUGUGGACUAUUGAAAUCCAGAAGAUACAAGCCGAAACUAGGAGAAGAGAGUUAAAACCAACCUUCAAUAACCAUGUCAAAAACCUUUUCUUCGAAUGUUAACACCACAUCAAAGGAACCGUCGGCAGCAUUGUCCUGCCAUCGCUGAGGUGCCAGUUUGACUCCCAAGUUUCUUUUAAGCAUAGGCAAGAUGCCAUUACGCUUAUACCUGUACUUAUCGUCAAGGUUGCACUUUGCAUAAAAAACAACACGGUUCAGAACGCAAAGUACGCACAUAAAUUCCAGUUCAUACAUCCCACAAUACUCGAGCAUUGCUACUCAGAGCUACCAAUCAAUAGUCAUCAUCAUCAACUAUUCUAUACUCUUCGCUAAACGCCUCGAAUCCACAAAUAUCGAAUUUACUCUUAAAAGCCACGGGUAAGUUCAUACACAAAAUCUAUCAGACUGCCCACUUAAUCUCCAAAUAUUGAAGCUUUGAACCUACAAUCUCAGUUGCAUAUAUCAACAGAGUCUCAAAGUUCUUCUUUUUCUUUCAUGUUAACCAAUCUGCUGCCACCAAAACAUUUUGUUCGCACUAUUUUCUGGAUAUUUAUAGGAAUCUAUUUCAUCACCAAAAUAUCAUAUUCCCCAAAACCCAGAAUUCGAAAAACCCAAUCGAAACAAGAAAGAUACAUAAUUUGAAAACCCCAAUUGAACAAAAUCGAAAGAAGAACAAGUUCGGAGGAGGAGGAUACAGUUCGGGGUCUUUUCGCCGCAGAUCGUCGAACAUCUGCUUGUAAGGUGUGCCAAAGUCGUAAACGUUGGGUUCUCUGAGAGAGGGACCAGGGAGCUUGACGUGGGCUCCGGUGCCGUACGACGCGACGUCGAAGCCCUGCCGCUUGAGGAGCGAGUGAGCCUCCAUGCUCCGGUUCUGGUUCGACGAACACACCAUGGCGUACCGGAACUUCAUGGCUUACUGAAUUCCACUGUCUCUGUCUGAUUCACAGAUCACAAUACGUCCCUUGGGGCGGCUGGGUUUUUCACUUGUUUAUCACAAAUUAGUCAAUUUCUUUUUUCGUUCACUUAUUUAUUUUUAGGUAAGCUCCUUUAGGGUGCGUUUGGUACGUGGGACGGAACGGGACGAGGCGUUCCGUCCCGCGUUUGGUACGUCAAAAAUGGGUGGAACGGGCUAUUCCACGGGAUAGAUUUUGGGUGUUUUUGCGUCCCACCUCCCCCUGGAACGGGUUUGUUCCACGUCUGUGGAACACACUGUUUUACCAUUUUAAGACAAAUAUACCCCAUGUAUUUUUCAAAAAUUACACCUUCGUUCCGUCCCGUCCCGUCCCGUUCCGUCCCGUCCCGUCCCGUUCCGUUCCCUCCCGUCCCGUCCCGUCUGCGUACCAAACGCACCCUUAGGUAUCGUUUGGGACGUGGAACGGGACGGAACGAAACGGGAUAAGGCGUUUCAUUCUACGUUUGGUGCGCUUAAAACAGGUGAAAUGCAUUAUUCCACGAGAUAAAUUUUGGGUGAAUUUUCGUUCUGCCUCACCUCCUGGAACGACUCGUUCCACAUCUAUGGAACACAAAAUUAUAACAUCUCCGUCUCCUUCUUCUUCCUCCUUGUUUCCAUCCGGGGGCAUCUUUGCUCUCUCUCCAUUCCGUCCUGUCAUGUCUCGUCCCGUCCCGUUCCAUUCCGUUCUGUCUCGUCCCGUCUGCACACCAAACGAUACCUUACACUAUCUUAAAACCUAAAAUUUUUAACCUAAAAAAUUUAGUUUUAAUCCAUAAGUAGCUUUUUUGCUCAAACUCUUAUGGGUUAAAAUUUUAGGGGUGUAUUCAAUUGGGAAUUUGAGAGAUUUUAAUAGAUUUAUAAAUCCAUGAAUUUUUAUAGAGUUUAACUAAUUUGUAGAGAUUCCAUGUAAAAUUUUGAUUCAAUUCCCUCGAAAUCUCAUGGGGAGAUGUGAGAUUUGUAGAUGCUUAAAAUACAUUACAAAAUCUCUCAAAUUCCCUUUAAUUCCUCAACUUUUCUAAAUUCUUUAAAUUCAAAUUCUAAUUGAAUACACCUUAAAUGUUAUAAACUUCUUUAAAAUUCUAAUUGAAUACAUCUGGAUUUCUAAGGAUUUUAAUAAAUUAUCUUAAAGUCCUGAUUGAAUACACAUUGAAUUUCAGAGAAUCACUUAAAAUCUGAUUGAAUACCCCAUAAUUUAUCAAAAGAAUUAAAAUCCCUUAAAAUCCUAAUUGAAUACACCCCCUUAACCUUAAAGUAUUAAAAAAUAAAUUUAGGCUAAUAACUUUAAAAAAAAAAUUAUGUAGACUAUCUUAAUUUAAUUUUAUGAACAUAUUGACCUAAAAAUAUUUUGAUUCUGACAAAUAUUAAAAAAUCACUAACUAACACCAUGAAACUCGUGAAAUACUAUGAAAGAAUAUGAAACACAUAAAAGAAUUUUUUUUUAAUUACUUUAGUUGUUGGAUUUAAAUUUAGACCGUUAGAUUUUUACCAGUUGGAUUUCAUCAAAUUAGAUAUUAACUGUUGAAUUCAAUAAAUUUAUAUAAAACUAAAAAAAAUAUACAUAUAUAGUGGGCCAGCCCCACUAACCCAGGAAGAAUCCUGGGCUAAAUUUGGCCUAGAAAUGAGUUUUGAGUUUUAAUUCAUAUUUACCCCAAAGGUUGGAACAAGUUGGGUAAGUUUAGAACUUAACAUCUGAGUUUUACUCUAAGGGUUGGAGUAGGUCUUAGAACUCAAAAGUCAUAAUUUUAUUUUAAUUUAUAGAUCGCCUCCUAAAAUGUACGUGAGACCAACAUUCAAAAAGACAAUGUCGUAUGUGCAGUAAAUUUAAUUAUAAAUUUUCAUUAUACGUCAACAUUCAACAAUCAGAUAAUAUUAAUUUUAAAAGCAUUGAAUAGAUGAAAGAAAAAAAGUUAAUUAGCCCGGGGCACCUAGCUACAUACGAGAUUAACAUAUCUAAAUCAAUGUAGAAUAAAUUUUGAGUCUUAUAAAGAUGAUUUUUAAGUUCAAGAAAGCACAAAUCGAGUUUUGAGAGCAAAGUGGAGUAAAUUUUAACUUGAGAAAAUAAAAUGACGAUUUUUAAAUUAAAAAAAAAAAACCAAAUUAAGACUAAAUUUAAGUUUCAGAACGUAGCUAAAAAUAAGCUAAGUUUUUACUCACUCUUUUUUCAUCUUUAUUUUGUUACUUAAAUUGGACGGUAAUAAUUAGACAGCACAACUCAUUUGUCUAAAUAGAAAAAGAAUUUCAUUUGUCUUGUGUGAAAUUUAUCAGUUCGAAUUGUAAAUUAUAGGGUUUCGGGUCGGAGAGCUGAAAGAUGGAAGCAGCAGCAACAUCGAGUGUUUUUCAAUCAUCAAUCGCCGCCUCCAGGCCCUCCAAUUUGAUUGCCCGACCGGGGAUUUUGACGGCCAAUGGACCCGGAUUUCUGCGUUUGGGUCCCAAAACUCACUCGCCAAUCAAGGUAAUUGAUGAGAAUUCGUGGGUUGUUGUUACUUUUCAAUUUUGCAUGAUCCCGAAUAGUUUGCGAGUAAUGGGUUCCUCUGGUAAUUGAUGAGAAUUCUGGGGUUUCUGUUAAAUUGAGAAAGAUUCAAUUUUUAUUGGGAUUUGAGGGGUUUUAGUUGGUGCAGUUCAAUUGUGCUGUUUAUAGCAUAUGACUUAAAUGUCUAUGCAAAAAAUCAAUUUUUAGUCGAUAUUUCAUCCGAUCUUUUUCGGAAUAUUUGUAGCUGUGGCCAAAUUUGGCGUAGUAGUUGAGUAAUAUUUGAUCUGAUUUCAUGUUUAGCAGCAUCGGUUUUCAAUCUGUCAACCGAAGGUGGGGCAUAGGAGAAUGGGAUAUGGAAGCAGGAGAGGCUUCGUGGUUAGGGCGGCAGCUGCAUCUUCGUCUCCGGACUCAGCUGGUUCUGCUUCUCCAAUCGCCCCACUUCAGCUGGAGUCUCCAAUUGGGCAGUUCCUCUCUCAGAUAAUGAUUAGUCACCCACACCUUGUGCCUAGUGCAGUGGACCAGCAGCUUGAACAGCUUCAAACCGACCGCGAUGCUGAGCAAAAGAAGGAACAGAAGGAAGAGCCUUCCGCAUCUGGUACAGACCUCGUUUUGUACAGGUUAGUUGCAAUCUAGAUUGAGUGAUAAGCUAAGAGCCAGUUAUGUUUACAUUAAGGGCUGGUUUGGUAUCGCUGAGCUUUGAAAAAAAGCUGCUGUGAGAAUAAACGGCUGUGAAAGUGUUUGGUAAACUUUUUUGUAAAAGUGCUUUUGAAAAAAAAAGCAGUCUGAUAGUGGAUCUUUUCAUUAAAGGAGCACUGUAGUUCUGUGUGCUUUGAAAAAAAACCAGUUUUCCAAAGCUACAAAUUGCAGCUUCAGCUUUUUUCUUUGAUUUCAACUUAUUCUCACAGCAGCUUCCAAAAUAAGCCCUUUUUUUUAAAUUUACCAAACACCAAAAACACUCCCAGUUUUUUUUCAUAGGAGCUUUUUUUUAAAUCACCUUCAACCCCAAACUGGGGCUAAGUCAAGUUAAGCUGCGUAAAUGAACCAUAAGUUUGAUGCUGUUUUCCUUAGUAAAAUCAGAAUAAAUGAAGGAAAAAGUUUGACUUUGCCACCAUUUGGUAUGUGCAACUAAAUGGAGAAUUGUAGUUUUGGAGUGAGAUAUUAUUAACUUCUUCUGCAAUAUCAGGAGGAUCGCUGAGGUUAAGGCUACUGAAAGGAGAAAGGCUCUUGAAGAGAUUUUGUAUGCUUUGGUGGUGCAGAAAUUCAUGGAUGCUAAUGUUUCUCUAGUACCUGCCAUUAGCCCAACUGCUUCAGACCCUUCUGGCCAAGUUGAUUCAUGGCCAAGUCAAGACGAGAAGCUCGAGCAGCUUCACUCUCCUGAAGCGUACGAGAUGAUUCGAAACCACCUGUCUCUCAUCCUAGGAAAUCGGUUGGGUGACUCGACCUCUUUAGCAAAGAUUAGCAAACUCAAAGUUGGGCAGGUUUAUGCAGCCUCUGUCAUGUAUGGGUACUUCCUCAAACGGGUUGACCAGAGGUUUCAACUGGAGAAGACAAUGAAGAUCCUUCCAGGUGCAAUGGGUGCUGAAGACAGUGAUAUUCACAAAUCAGUGGGGGAGGACGUGAGGCCUGGCAGUGGAGGGGAGGCUUCGCAAGCAGGGGCGUCUUCCCAUCCUGAAGUCCCUUCCUUGGCUGGAGGCGUUAGUCCUGGGGGUUUUGGCAAUGCGCUGAAGCAUUCUCGGUUGCGAACCUAUGUGAUGUCGUUUGAUGGAGAGACCCUUCAUAGGUAUGCAACAAUUAGAUCGAGGGAGGCCAUUAGCAUCAUUGAAAAGCACACCGAGGCAUUGUUUGGGAGACCCGAUAUUGUCAUCACUCCUCAGGGGACUGUUGAUUCCUCCAAGGAUGAUCUCAUCAAGAUUAGCUUUGGUGGUUUGAGGAGACUCAUUUUGGAAUCUGUGACUUUUGGCUCUUUUCUUUGGGACGUCGAGAGCUAUGUGGAUUCCAGGUAUCAUUUUGUUGCAAACUGAGUUAUAUUGAGUUAAAGAUCGUUCCUGCCAUGGUAAAACUCGGUGGUGCAUUGGAGCCCCAACUGCCCUUCUCAAAUGGGAUAAUUGAGACCUAGUGAAAAAUAUCAAAUGUUUGGUGCUAAUUGCUGUAUAUAAACAGCUGAAAAUUUGCUGUUGUCCCUGUAACAAAAAGGCUUUGUAGGGUUAUCAAACUUUCUGUAAUUCUGAUUUGUUUGCGCUGACAACCAUUUCUCAUCGAUACAACGGGUUACAGAACAACAUUUGAUCAUUUAAUUUAUGAGAGUCUUUCCUUUUGUUGCACUUCUACAUGGAAUUGUAAAGAAAUUUGUUAGGCUUGGAAAGAUUCAGACGAUGCAGAACUGCGCCGAACAUGUCAUAGAAUGUAAAUUCUGCAUCAGUCUCUGUAAGUUGUGCAGAUAAGAAGCCUUGCCCGUCAUAGUAGAACUUGAAUCUGUUUCGUUUCGCUUUAAUGUCGCCUUUCCAUGCCUUCGACCCACCACCGCUGGUCAAGAACUGGAUUUGGCUGUGCGCACAAAAUUGGUGAUUUUUAACAGAUUCUAUUCAUCCAUAAAGUUAAAGUUUAACUUUAAAACUGCUUAUCCUGUUGGUGUCGCUAGUGUGUUCCAAGCAGUGGUCAUGUCCAUUCAUGUACGCGGUCAUGUCCAUUCAUGUACGCAUCAACGUUGUCUGCCUGCAUCAAAAUCAUGCGAGAGGUCGAAACAUGUUACUCAACAUAUCUCUCUCUCUCUCUCUCUCAUGCAUAGCAGCAUAAGAAGUUACCUCAAGAAUGGGCAGAAUCUGGUCAACUACUUCUUUGGUGUCUCCAUGAUGCCCUAUGCUUCUGAUUGUGUGAUGUCCAACGACAACUUUCCACUUUGCAGAAGAAUUCCUUAAUGCAAAAUCUAGAUCCUGUUCCCAACAUAAACAGAUGUAUUAUGCAUAUUGGUAGGAAAAUCCAUUGUUGUAAAUGGGAACAUGGUAGGGAGAAAAUGGGGAUUUGCCAUUGUAGUGGUAUCUCAAGUCAAUAUUGUACCGUCAUGUAUUUUAACUUUCUCAUAGAUCAGUUUGUGAUUGAUUUGAGAUAUUGUCAAGUGAAAUUCCCGUUCAAGGAAGUUCAUUCUCAAGCCGAAGAAGAAUGGGAGGAGUACCUUCAAGAGAUUAGAGAGGUACUCCUUCCUAGGAAGAACACCGAAAAAUACUUGUCCACAAAAGGGUUGGUGUCAAUGAAGAAGUCUGCGACUUGUGUGUUGACAAGAAAAGACUUGAGGCAAAGCCACCGGUUGUCCAUCUUCCUAAGGACCGGACUCAACUGGGCCAAAGCAUUUCCCCGGUAGUCAUGGUUGCCGAGAACUGAAAUCGACUCUAUUUUCCCGACAACAUCAAAACAAAGUCAGCUGAGCUUCAUUUAAUUCAAUGUAUAGCAUAUAUAGUUGAAUUUAACGGUUGGAUGUGCAUUGAAGAAUCAACGAGAAUUUAGUGGGUGGAUCUGAGUGACUUAAAAUGUACAAAGCAACGAACUCACGAAGAUACCAUUGCUUUUGGAGACUGUUGGAGCGAGAUUUCCUACAAGAAGAAAUACCUCCACAGAUUUAUUGACCGUAAUCUUCACGUUCGCUGAAUCUUUCUCUCUGAUAUCCCAGAAUAGUCUUCCUUCGUAACUUGCCCGGGCGGGCGUACGUGCAAAAGAUGCUCUGACGCUCAAGUAAGCUGAUUGGUUUUUCUCUUCUUUGGAUUCUCUCAGGUUCUCCUUACGUACCUUGUUCUUUGGCCCCUCUCCAUAUUUAUAGGAUUGCAUGCCUGGAGAACAAGUAUCACGAUCUCUCUUCCCUUUUCCACUUCCUUAGUGGUCAUCCGUAAUAUGACCGCAUGUUUCGGGAACAAGCACCACGUUAUAUUUUCCUUUCCCACUUCCUCAAUGAUCCUUCGUAGUGGAGGCGGUUACCUGGACACGUGCGCCUGUUCCUCGUGGGCUUUCCUUACGGUUUACCUUGCAUAACACCAUUCCUGGGUGACUUGGAUUGGCCCAUGAGUCGAAACCGGAUUUUAUCCUCCCACAAUGCCCCAUUUUCCCCUUUUUUUACGUAUGUAAAAUAGCGGAAAACUAAGUUUUUCGAUCACAUGUGGCCUUGAAACUAUGCUUUUUGAACCUAGCUAAAACUUUAAGCAUUUCUUACUAAGACCAAAUUUGUGGAAGUUGCUUUUUCUACGGGUAAAUGAAGGUAAAUUUACCAAAGUCAUUGUUUCGUGUGCCUAACUCGCGAAAGCCAAACAGGCUCCUUCGCUUACUUUACGAAAGUCACCUCACAUCUUCACAUAAAAUGUGGGCUGACACCUUCCACGAAAGCAGACUAACAUUUACGAACGAAGAUUUACAAACGAACAUAACACCUUGUAUGAUUUAUGAAUGAGAAUUUACGUAUGAAGAUUUACGAACGAGGACUGACAUGAAAGUGGACUGACUUGUAUGAUUUACGAGGAUUUACGUACGAAGAUUUACGAGCGAGGAUUUACGUACGAAGAUUUACGAGCAAGGAUUUAUGAAGACAUUACGAAGGUGGACUGACAUUACGAAUGAGGACUGACAUUACGAAAGUGGACUGACAUUACGAACGAGGACUGACAUUACGAAAGUGGACUGACAUUACGAAAGUGGACUGACACGACAAAAGAUGACCGACGAAAUUUAACUGUGUAGGAUGUCUAACAGGUUACACGUAUGCGUAUCUAUUAUAUAAAUCAUUGUCCCAUCUUGUCGAACUGACAAAAGCAGCAGCUGUAGCUGCAGCGCAGAAGUCUAAAACACGUUCAUACAUUUGCGUGCAUAUAUAUAGACACCAAUACCGACACUUGCCUUUAUACACACAUAUAUAUGCAUACUUUUGAGGACAUCACGUCCUUGCCAGACUUUUGCAUGCUUUUCUAUAUGUAUACACACCAAUAUAUAUAUAUAUAUAUAUAUGUGUGUGUGUGUGUGUGUACUUUUGCAGACAUCACGUCCUUGACAGACUUUUGCAUGCUUUUCUAUAUGUAUACACACCAAUUCUAACACUUGCCUUUAUAUAUAUACAUAUAUAUAUGUCUGGAUUCAUAGGCAUAUAUAGGCAAACCUACGAGCAACAUACGUGUGCAUAUCUCUGCAUACUGACAUGCGGAUCUCUGUACAUACUAUUCAUUUAUUCGUGUACAUCUCUAUGCACGCAUGUAUAUAUAUAUGUGUGUGUGUGUGUGUGUCAUUACCUUGUGUUUCUCCAUCCCUGAUUUUCUUCACUUCCUCUGCUUAGUUUCUUCUCCAAGCCUAUGAUUUCUCGCUUCAGGGUGACCUCUUAGUUUACAGGUAAUUUUCCAUUUCAAACCCCUCAAGAAUAUUUUAAACAUUCCACUUACGUUUACGAGCACAAAUUCCUCUUCUGUCUUAUCUAACCAAUUUUGGCCAAUAAGUCUCCCACCCAUUUAUCAUGUCGAGACGUACACCUUGGUCUAAAUAUGGUGGUACUCCACCACACUUCGAAAUUGUCAAGGCUCGUGACCUAGGUCAUGUUCCAGAUGACAUACACCUUAGCCCACUUCCUGCCGAAGCCGACAUGUAUUAGGGCCUCGGUAUCCUAGCCAGGUCUACCUUUUAUCUCCGGAUUACUUAGGGGUCAUUAGUUUCCCGCUCCACCCCAUGAUUCAUCUCAUCUUAUUCUUCACCAAUACUCACCCUAUGCAACUGAACCCAAACUCUUACUUGAUUAUGUCGACAUUUCUGGCAUUGGGUCUGAAGCUAGGUGUAUCUUUAGGUUUUAGGGAUUUUCUCUAUCUCUUCGACUUGACGGUUAUUAAGGGUGAAACUAGCUUCUUUAAUUAUAAACCUAGAUAUCAUAAGAAAUUCUUGUCAUUGGGCCAUUCGAGAGCCAGAGAUUGGAAAAACCGCCCUCUUCUGAUUUCGAGGAACUGGAAGGCUCCCGAGCUGUCUCAACUAUCUAUCCCUUCUACUUUCGGUCCUAAACCUGGUAUAUAAUUUUACCUUUAUUAUUUGUUUUUCAUAACUAUGCGGACUUUACUUACCGUGAACUUCUUUCGCAGCUUUAUCGGAUGGUCCUGAACAGAUCAUUUCCAAAGACCGAAAAUGCUGGCUAAAGAAGUUUGUGACGAGGAAGAUAUGGAGCUCUAAAAAAGUUCUCGACAUCCUCACUUAAAUCACCUAUCUCCGCAACUCCAUCAUUUACUUCCUGUACUGUUUGGUCGACCGGUCGUUGCCCUCGGACCACCUACUUAAAUCUAUCUUCGCUCUCGAUCUUGACCUUCAGUUCAGCGCAAAGUCUUCCUUAUUUAUGACCGACUCUCAAAUGGAGGGCUCAGAAGAAGAAGACGAAGGAGAAAAAGACGAGGAGUCAGGGCAAUCAGACACGAAUUCUGACUCGAAUUAUUCUCCUGCAAUGGCUUCACCACCUUCUGACAUUCCACCACCCCACUGCAUUACAUCGGCUCCACGUGAUCUUCCUAUGCCCAUAAUUGUAAGCAGGUCGGAUAAUGUCAUCUGGCGGAUAGGCCCAAAAAGCCUAGGCGUGGUUCACCGACUAUCUUCGGCACCACCCCAAGACCCAUGCAAUGGCAACUGGCUCCUCCCACUUUCGGCUCGACUAGUGGCAAUGGUUCCAGCAAUUCAUCUCAAGUUUAGAGGCCUGAGUUCACAAAAAGAGAUGGGAGUCAUGUCACCUUUAGCGAUGAUCUAUAGGGUAACGCAAGCGCCGCUACUGCUGUGGUGAGAGGCUUGGUUCAUCCUAAUGACGCCAGUCGUUUCGAGGUAAUGCUCGAUGAUGAUGUCAACUCUUAUGAAUCUCAUUGCCUUAUGAAGGUAUUCCUUCAUUCUCUCAUGUUUUCGUCAUUUCUGUAAGCUUUAACCCUAACGUUGUUUCCAGAUGGCUCUCAUUCAAAAGGAAAAAUCAGACAGACUGGAUGCCAGGUUGGAAUCCCUCAGCCUUACUCAGCAACAGGUCAGAGAGUACCAGGCUAAACUUCAUGGAUAUGAGGAAGAGAUCACAAGUUUGAAAUGAGCUUAGGAUGCUGUAACGUCCGAAGUACGCCACAUGAAGGAAGAGUUAACUGAGGUCAAGCGAGCGAGGGCCACUAAGCGCGAGAUGAAUAUGCAGCAAAUAUGUAAGGAGAUGGCUUCCAGCUUCAGAUUUGGUUAGGUGCAAAGCCAACAAUGCCCGAAACAUCGAUUUGUAGCUGAUCCUGACGUGUAUGAUCGCCAUAUGAGGAUUGAAUCGGGUGGAUAUAAGUGGUAUGAAGGGAUAGAUCGUAAAGAUCGGAGACCCUCAGACCAACCUGCUUCUUCUGAUUAUAUCCCAGGCAGCGGGUUUGUUACUACUUCUGGACCCAUCUCGAGUUUAGGCUUUGGAGGCUUUUAAUUCGGCCAUCGUUUCGGCGCUCAAUAGCUCAUGCAAUCGCGUGGUCUAUUCUUUUGGGCUAAACCCCCAUUUGUGUUAGUGAUCCGUUCUUAUGGGCUAAAACUCCAUCUAUGUUUGUAAUCUGUAUUUUACUUACUAUCUCAAUUGUAUCUUCGCGUGAUUGUCAUUCACAAAUUGGGCCUUCGCCCUUCCACUGCCUAACUCUUCCUAUCCGUUCCUUUUGAUUUUCAAUUUUAACUGAAUGUGAUCAAUAUCUUUUAUCCUUAAAUUUGAGUUUUCAAACCAAAGAUUAACUUAUCUUAAUAAGAUACGAUCACCUUAGAUUUUGAAUUUUCGUUUCUAUCAACCUCGAAUUGCCUCUAUAUAAAGGGGUGUUUGAGAGCCAUUAGGUAGUACCUGGAUCUUAUGGUUAACAAUCGAAAAGUGAAGCUCCACUUCCGGCUCUACGCUGAUGUUCCCAAAAAAGGAAGCUUGGGGUUCUAGGAAUGUAAUCGAGCUAUGUUCUAAUUCCUUUUCUCGUUCACCAAUAAGGGCUUCUUAUUCUUCUGAAGUCCCUAACACUUUUUUAUGAAUCCACAUACCGGUUUUGAACAAGAUCUAGACUCCAUUGUCGGCGGAAUGAUCUAUUCGAGGCUAAAUCAUACCACUUAGGCUCUUAAUCCGGUUACUGACAGAAUGGUCUCUCCGGGAGGGAGUUACGCAACUCAGGCUCCUGACUCUAUAGCUUGUUCUCUCGACCUUUACGCAAGAGAUGAAGCGGGUCCUUCUCGCGCACCUUCCCGUCACCACCCACGUUGUCCCCAGUGCUUCGACUACUCCCUACUAUUGAACGAGCGUGAAACUCUGAAGGGAUACUUGCAACGUGCUGAACACCAGGUAGAUCAUCUCAGAGGGGAAUUAAUGGCUAUCGAUCGUGCCGUGUAUGUUGCUCACUUAGAUGGCAUACACGAUGGUUUUAAGCAAGGCAUUCAAUAUUUCCGCUCCAAGGCGAAAUCGGCCUUUCCCUCCGUAAACUGGGAUAGUCUCUCUACCCCGUUAGACUAGCCAUUUUGCUUGUAAUAAGUUGGGCCCUUAGGUCCAACCACUAUUGGGAUAUCUAGUAGUGAUGUUGUCCUUGUUUUCCCUUUUUUGCUAGUAGGUUUACUUCUCAUUCUUGUCUUUUAUCGUACUAUAUGUCCAACAUCUAAGAGGUUUUCCUCUUUAAAUAAAACAUAUUAUCUUUUACGGCAUGAGAACAACGUCCCAUUGCCUAAGCUUUUUACCUUCGCACACGUCAUGCCUUAUUUUCCUCUGCAAACACGCGACGUGUUCGAUGAGGCAAAUCUAUUAAAUUCACCAUUUCGUUAUCGAUCUCAGAAACCAUUCAACCUUGAAUCAAUUUUUACCUAUUCAAUCUUAGAUGGGUCUUUGCCCAUUGGAUUUCCUUUCCUGCUCAAUCUUAGAUUUUUUAUCUUGAUUGGGUCUUUGCCCAUUAUCUCUCGCUUAGGGUACUGAAGCGGUUAUCCCCACAGAGGUCAGUCUACCUACGGUCAGUAUGCAGAGAUAUGCACACGUAUGUUACUCGUAGGUCUACCUAUAUAUGCCUAUGAAUCUAGACAUAUAUAUGUAUGUAUAUAUGUAUGUGUGUGUGUGUAUAUAUAUAAAGGCAAGUGUCGGAAUUGGUGUGUAUACAUAUAGAAAAACAUGCAAAAGUCUAGCAAGGAUGUGAUGUCCGCAAAAGUACGCAUAUAUAUAUAUAUAUAUAUAUAUAUAUAUAUAUUGGUGUGUAUACAUAUAGAAAAGCAUGCAAAAGUUUGGCAAGGAUUUGAUGUCCUCAAAAGUACGCAUAUAUAUAUAUAUUUUAUUUUUUUUAUUUUUUAUUUUGAUGUGUAUACGUAUAGAAAAGCAUGCAAAAGUCUGGCAAGGAAGUGAUGUCCGCAAAAGUACGCAUAUAUAUAUAUAUAUUGAUGUGUAUACAUAUAGAAAAGCAUACAAAAGUCUAGCAAGGACGAGAUGUCCGCAAAAGUACGCAUAUAUAUAUAUAUAUAUAUAUAUAUAUUGGUGUGUGUAAAUAUAGAAAAGCAUGCAAAAGUCUGGCAAAGACGUGAUGUCAGCAAAAGUACACACACACACACACACACACAUAUAUAUAUAUAUAUGUAUAAAGGCAAGUAUCGGUAUUGGUGUCUAUAUAUAUGCACGCAAGUGUGUAAACGUGUUUUAGACUUUUGCGCUGCUGCUUUUGUCAAUUUGACAAGAUGGGACAAUGACUUAUAUAAUAGAUACGCAUACGUGUAACUUGUCAGACAGCCUACACAGUUAAAUUUCGUCAGUCCUCUUUCAUCAUGUCAGUCCACUUUCGUAAUGUCAGUCCUCAUUCGUAAUCUCAGUCCACUUUCGUAAUGUCAGUCCUCAUUCGUCAUGUCAAUCCACCUUCGUAAUGUCUUCGUAAAUCCUCGCUCGUAAAUCUUCUUACGUAAAUCCUCGCUCAUAAAUCUUCGUACGUAAACCCUCGUUCGUAAAUCUUCGUACGUAAAUCCUCAUAAAUCAUAUAAGUCAGUCCACUUUCGUGUCAGUCCUCGUUCGUAAAUCUUCAUACGUAAAUUCUCGUUCGUAAAUCAUACAAGGUAUUAUGUUCGUUCGUAAAUCUUUGUUCGUAAAUCCUCGUUCGUAAAUGUCAGUCUGCUUUCGUGGAUGGUGUCAGCCCACAUUUUAUGUGAAUAUGUGAGGUGUCUUUCGUAAAGUAAGCAAAGGAGCCUGUUUGGCUUUCGCGAGUUAGGCACACGGAACAAUGACUUUGGUAAAUUUACCUUCAGUAAAUUUACCCGUAGAAAAAGCAACUUCCACAAAUUUGGUCUUAGUAAGAAAUGCUUAAAGUUUUAGCUAGGUUCAAAAAGCAUAGUUUCAAGGCCACAUGUGAUCAAAAAACUUAGUUUCCCCUAUUUUACAUACGUAAAAAAGGGAAAAAUUGGGCAUUGUGGGAGGAUAAAAACCGGUUUCAACGCAUGGGCCAAUCCAAGUCACCCAGGGAUGAUCUUAUGCAAGGUAAACCGUAAGGAAAGCCCACGAGGAACAAGCGCACGUGUCCAGGUAACCGCCUCCACUACGGAGGAUCAUUGAGAAAGUGGGAAAGGAAAAUAUGACGUGGUGCUUGUUCCCGAAUCAUGCGGUCAUAUUACGGAGGACUACUAAGGAAGUGGAAAAGGGAAGAGUGAUAGUGAUACUUGUUCUCCAGGCAUGCAAUCCUAUAAAUAUGGAGAGGAGCCAAAGAACAAGGCACGUAAGGAGAACCCGAGAGAAUCCAGAGAAGAGAAAAACCAAUCAGCUGACUUGAACGUCAGAGUAUCUUUUGCAGGUACCCCCGUCCGAGCAAGUUACAGAGGAAGACUAUUCUGGGAUAUCAGAGAGAAAGAUUCGGCGAAUGUGAGGAUUACGGUCAACAAAAGAUUUCCUACAAGAAGAAAUACCUCCACAGAUUUGUUGACCGUAAUCCUCACGUUCGCCGAAUCUUUCUCUCUGAUAUCACAGAAUAGUCUUCCUCUGUAACUUGCUCAGACGGGGGUACCUGUAAAAGAUACUCUGACGUUCAAGUCAGCUGAUAGGUUUUUCUCUUCUUUGGAUUCUUUCAGGUUCUCCUUACGUACCUUGUUCUUUGGCUCCUCUCCAUAUUUAUAGGAUUGCAUGCCUGGAGAGCAAGUAUCACGAUCUCUCUUCCCUUUUCCACUUCCUUAGUGAUCCUCCGUAAUAUAACCGCAUGCUUCGGGAACAAGCACCACGUCAUAUUUUCCUUUCCCACUUCCUCAAUGAUCCUCCGUAGUGGAGACGGUUACCUGGACACAUGCGCCUGUUCCUCGUGGGCUUUCCUUACGGUUUACCUUGCAUAACACCAUCCCUGGGUGACUUGACUUGAAUUGACCCAUGAGUCGAAACCCGAUUUUAUCCUCCCACAUAGACUCUGAGCAGUGUAUUUCAGCAAACGACUUUAGAAAUGCAGGGUCGUUGACGCUGGUCAAUCCCCUGUUGUAAAAGUUAUUACCCGUGGAGAUGACGAAGUCUAUGUUUAAUUUGGCUCUAAUCUUCCCCAUCUGCAAUUAAUUAUUUACAAGAUGCAAUUAUGCAUGGUGGAAAAGAACAAACACUCCACACUUGUUACUUUUAGAAAGAGCCAAAAACGCAUACAAAUGAUUUGAUUAAGCGAGCCCAAAAAGCGUGCCCAUAAUCUCAACUGAAAUUUAUGUAGGUCUUGACACCUAAUUACCAGAGCAAGUAGAACAGUCGUGUUUUUGUACACUUAUUUUUACUUCUCUCACAUUUUUUCUUAAUUCUAUCAUUUAAUUUUUUUUUUCGAUUCAUUUGAUUCGACUAAUCAAAAUUGAAAGGGGUAAAUGAAAAUUAAAAAGAGAUGUGUGAAUAGCAUAAUCCUUUAGAUUAACUUCAAUGGUUAGAUUAAAACUCAAAAUUUAAAUUUUAAAAUCACUCAAACUUCUCCAAUCAUUGGGCUUUGGGAGAAAUUUAGCCCAGAAACUGAGCCAGUUAGUGGUUGUGAUAGAAAGACCAACGACUAUUUUUUAUCCGACGGCCCACGUGGUUGGACCGUUUGUUCAACCAAACGAUCCAGAUUCAAUUGUUUAAAAAAAUUAAAUUUAUAAAUACAUAAUCCAACAUUUGAGAUCAAAUAUAAGCAAAUCUAACGGUAAAAAAUGUCCAAAAACUCACAAUAAAAAUUCAAUUGUUUAGACUAACUUCAAUGGUUAGAUUAAAACUCAAAAUUUAAAUUUUAAACUCACUCAAACUUCUCCAAUCAUUGGGCUGAAAAAAAAAUUUGGAUUAAAACUUAUCUUUGAGGGAAAUUUAGGCCAGAAAAUGAGCCAAAGUUAGUGGUUGGGACAAAAAACCAACAACUAUUUUUUAUCCAACGGCCCACAUGGUUGGACCAUUUGUUCAACCAAACGAUCCAGAUUCAAUUGUUUAAAAAAAAAUUAUAAAUACAUAAUCCAACAUUUGAGAUCGAAUAUAAGCAAAUAUAACGGUAAAAAAAAAAUCCAAAAACACACAAUAAAAAUCCAACGUCUAAAAUAAUUAAAAAAUAUAUUUACAUCAAAAUUUAUCCAAAAACUCUAUAAAUACCUAUAUAUUUGUUCAAACAUCCACGUAAAAUUCACUCGUCAAACAAUUCUUCCUUCUUUUUCCUACCCACCUAUGUAUUUGUAUUUAACAAUGGGGUAGGUUAUGCGGUUUUUCAUGUUCUUUCAUGUGAUGCAUAUGUGUAAGAAUGGGGUAAAUUUAAUAAUUUUUUAUUAUUUAUCAAAAUUUUAAUAUUUUUAGAUUAAAUGUUUAUAAAAUAAAUUAAGAUAAUCCAUAUAAUUUUUUUUUAAAUUACUGAAUACUGAAAGAAAAGUAGGCUAGAAUAAUUCUUUGAAUAAUUUCGGGCUAGAAUUUUAAGGUAAAACUGUUUCUGGGUUAGAAUCUAAAGUUUUGGGGCUAAACAUUUAGUUGACCCCAACCAUUAAAGUUGGUAUUGGAGAAAUGGAAAAUUUCAAAUUUCUUCAUAAUCUACCCCAUUUCAAUAUAUGAAGGGUAUAUACAUAUACGUCUUAAUUUUCCUUGAGCUUGUGCGUAAAAUAAAAUAAAAAACUUGAGAAUGAAGAAAACAUGAGCGGAAGGAGAUUAAGUACAUUUUUUACAAUGUUUAAAAGACAUUAGGCGCUAAUCGGGCGAUGGGUUGGGGCCUAGCGCCCAGGCGGCUAGGCAGAGCCUAGGCGGACUAUGCGGAGUAAAUCUAUUGUAUUUCAUGUAAAUAAGUGUCUGUUGAUACUUAAAAUAUAUAUAAUUUCAUCAUAAACUAUAAAAUAAAAUGAAGUAUUCAUAAUGAAAACAUGAGGAGCAAACAUAUAAUGUGUGUUUAUUUAAGUGGUCAAUAAGUCUCUUACAAUUUAUUGGAAACAAUAAAAAGCAAAAGGAAAGUUGUCUAUUUUUUAUCUAAGUGAGUUGCAACCUAGGUAGGUGUCUAAGUGGGUCUAGGCGGGCUAGGCGGGUGCCUAGGCGGUUUAGGCGGACGCCUCAGUAGGUAUGCGCCCUUUCUUAAUUUUCAAAAGCCUAGACAUUAAUCGGGACGGUGGCUAGCCGCCUAGCGUUUAGGCCCCGCUAGGCGGGGAUUUUUAGAACAGUGGCUUUUAAUAAGCCAAGAAAAUAGUACAAUGUUAUUAAUUUCCUCUUCUAUUUACUUAUGUUGAAGCAAAAAAAAAAGCAUAAUUAUUUUAGGAAACUAAGAAACUUCUGCAGAAGAAACAUCUGUCUGACGGAUCGACAAGAUGAACUGUGUCUGUAAUAAACAAAGUAAAGCAAACUUCGGGGUAGCCGAGCUGAUCAGAGCAGUGUGUUCAUCCUCUAUAAGUUAUAACUCGCAUGAAAAGUUCAAAAAGAACAACAACAACAACAACAACAACAAAGCCUUUUCCCACUAAGUGGGGUCGGCUAUAUGAAUCCUAGAACGCCAUUGCGCUCGGUUUUGUGUCAUGUCCUCCGUUAGAUCCAAGUACUCAAGUCUUUUCUUAGGGUCUCUUCCAAAGUUUUCCUAGGUCUUCCUCUACCCCUUCGGCCCUGAACCUCUGUCCCGUAGUCACAUUUUCGAACCGGAGCGUCAGUAGGCCUUCUUUGCACAUGUCCAAACCACCGGAACCGAUUUUCUCUCAUAUUUCCUUCAAUUUUGGCUACUCCUACUUUACCUCGGAUAACCUCAUUCCCAAUCUUAUCCUUUCUCGUGUGCCCAUACAUCCCACGAAGCAUCCUCAUCUCCGCUACACCCAUUUUGUGUACGUUGAUGCUUCACUGCCCAACAUUCUGUGCCAUACAACAUCGCUGGCCUUAUUGCCGUCCUAUAAAAUUUUUCCUUGAACUUCAGUGGCCUACGACGGUCACACAACACGCCGGAUGCACUCUUACACUUCGUCCAUCCAGCUUGUAUUCUAUGGUUGAGAUCUCCAUCUAAUUCUCCGUUCUCUUGCAAGAUAGAUCCUAGGUAGCGAAAACGGUCACUUUUUGUGAUCUUCGCUAGAUUGCUCCGGUCAUUAGUGUGGAUAAGUAUAUAAAUGGAUAGAGAUAGGAAAGCAAACACAAGAUGUACGUGGUUCACCCAGAUUUGCUACGUCCACGGAAUAGAGGAGUUCUCAUUAAUUGUGAAGGGUUUACACAAAAGCAAACACAAGAUGUACGUGGUUCACCCAGAUUGGCUACGUCCACGGAAUAGAGGACUUCUCAUUAAUUGUGAAGGGUUUACACAAGUACAUAGGUUCAAGCUCUCCUUUAGUGAGUACAAGUGAAUGAUUUAGUACAAAUGACAUUAGGAAAUAUUGUGGGAGAAUGAUCUCGUAGCCACGAAACUUCUAAGUACCGGAGUGUGGUAUCGUCUUGACUUGCCUUAUCUGUCUCAUAGGUAGAUGUGGCAUCUUCUCUGGAAGUACUCUUCCUCCAUCCAGGGGUGGUAUCUGUAACUGGUGGAGAUGCACAAGGUAAUGUAUCAAUUUCACUUGAAGCUUACUUGUAGUUUCAUGCUUGGUCAAGCGCGAUACAAACCAUGUAGUAGGAGUCCCCCAAGUCGCCGAGCUAGGGGAUCUGCUGAAAGAGGUGACAGACAAGGUAAGCAAUCAGAGCUCCGGCUGAUUGUUCACAUUCUCCCUAUCUUGCAGGCAGCAUGAAGGAUAAAGAGAAGAAAAAUGAGGAGAGAUGAUAUGGGAUACUUUUGCUUUUGAAGAAGUAACUUUCCACAGGCUUAUUCUUGAACUGGGCUGGAGGGUUUUCUGGUUUCCUCCAGAGUAUAAGGCCGACUGAAGAAUUUGAGGGUCAAAACAAGUCCAUCAAAUCUAGAGUACGUUCGACCCUGCUGAUAUGUGAUACUUUUGCUUUUGACAGAGUAGUGGAUGUAUCGGCACGUGUGCUGUUACGCUUGUCUCCACAUGCUUCCUUGUAUCAUUCUCACUUGCCCUAUUUGUUCCUCAGGCAGAUGCGGUAUCUUUCCUGGAAGCAUAAGAUGUUGAAGAUGAGUACUCGAGAGCAAUGCCAGGUAAGUAAUCAGGUAAGGGGUUCCAGGCAGUCAGUUCCUGGCUGGAAGCUUGAUUCCAAGUGCUGACUGAUUGCUCUCUUUCUCCUUGUCUUGCAGGUAAGAACAAGGCCAAAGGAAAAGACAGGGAAAAAGCAUGAUAUGGGAUACUCUUGCUUUUAACCCUGAUGAUAUGAGAUAUUCUUGCUCUAGUAUAGCUUGUUUACAGAGGUAUUAUCGGGGGGAAAGAAAGCUGAAUAUUUCGAAAUGCUUCGUUGGGAGUGCCCUCUCAGAUAAGAGAAAGGGUUGAGCAUUUUUGCAGGUCUGCCUGUCCGUUAGGGAUGGAGGUCGACAUAUAUAGGAGUCUCCCUAACAUCAAGUAAUAAUGCUAUUCCUUUACCCUGCUUGGUUAUAGCACGGUAGUGGGAGCUGCCAGCUUCACAUGUUUUAACCCUGUCAGAGCACUUUGAAAAAGUGGUCUGUGGUAUCUGGAAAGCUAAUGUUGCGUGUGAAGAUUACAGACAAGCUUUAUCCAAGGAGAUCCAGCUCUUGAAGUUGGGAAAGUGGUGCCUCUUCGAUUUUCGAACAAGCAAUCCUGUCGGGGAUCUGGCUCUCGAGAUUCGGAGAAACGAUGCCUCUUCGAUUUUUGAGAAAGCAAUCCUGCUGGGGGUCUGGCUCUCGAGAUUCGGAGAGCGGUGUCUCUUCGAUUUUUGAGAAAGUAAUCAUGUUGGGAGUCUGGCUCUCGAGAUUCGGAGGGCGGUGCCUCUUCGAUUUUGGAGCAAGCAAUCUUGUUGGGAGUGUUUUCUCGAAUGUGAGUAAAGGUUGGACGUGUUUUGCUAGUCUACCUUGCCACGAAGCACAGAGGUUGACACACAGGGACUUUCCAAUUAUCCAGCAGUGGUACUGUUCCUUUACCCUCUCUUCGAUUUUUGAGAAAGUAAUCAUGUUGGGAGUCUGGCUCUCGAGAUUCGGAGGACGGUGCCUCUUCGAUUUUGGAGCAAGCAAUCUUGUUGGGAGUGUUUUCUCGAAUGUGAGUAAAGGUUGGGCAUGUUUGCUAGUAUACCUUGCCACGAAGCACAAAGGUUGACACACAGGGACUUUCCAAUUAUCCAGCAGUGGUACUGUUCCUUUACCCUCUCUUCGAUUAUUGAGAAAGUAAUCAUGUUGGGAGUCUGGCUCUCGAGAUUCGGAGGGCGGUGCCUCUUUGAUUUUGGAGCAAGCAAUCUUGUUGGGAGUGUUUUCUCGAAUGUGAGUACAGGUUGGGCAUGUUUGCUAGUCUAGCUUGCCACGAAGCACAGAGGUUGACACACCGGGACUUUCCAAUUAUCCAGCAGUGGUACUGUUCCUUUACCCUUGUGGGUAAUAAUAUGGUAGCUAGACCUUCAAAAUUUAUGUGUUUAAACUUUGUUAGUGUUGUUUCUUUGCAAUUCUUUUACCCUUCUUGGUCAGAGCGAUGUAGUGGGAGCUGCAAGCUUCACGUGUCUCAACUUUGUCAGAGAACUUUGGCAAAGUUAUCUGUGGUACCCAUGAGCUACUGUUGCGUGUGGGAAGUGGGUGAUUGAACAGUACGAUUCAUGUGCUUUCUACUUCGUCAGAAAUCUUCGACAGAAUGCCCAUAAUUUCCGCACAGCUGAGUGUGCGUGUGACAGGUGCUGACAAGGCUGGAAAAGUAGGUGCCUCUUCGAUUUCUGAGAUCGGCCCUCGUGGUCUCUGAGCAUCCCAUCUUUUGAGAAAGCAAGCCUCUUCGAUUUCUGAGAUCGGCCUUCGUGGUCUUUGAGCAGCCCAGCUUUUGAGAAAGCAAACGCCUCUUUGAUUUCUGAGAUCGACCCUCGUGGUCUCUGAGCAGCCCAGCUUUUGAGAAAGCAAACGCCUCUUCGAUUUCUGAGCAGGCGCCUCUUCGAUUUCUGAAGCUUCGUCGAGUGCAGAUUUUUAUAGGGGCUGACAUUAAGUUCCAAAGCACACUUGAAUAUCCACCAGUAGAAGCUCCAUUCUUGCACUUCUAAGAUCUUGAUUUGUCCGACCUCUUCUCUCUUCAACACCUUUGAAAAUGUCUGGCCCCUCCGACCGUCGUUUUGACUUGAACCUUGUUGAAGAGGUAGCCCCGCCUUCUCCAGACAACAUAUGGCGCCCAUCCUUCGUCUCCCCUACUGGUCCUCUUACCGUUGGGGAUUCCGUGAUGAAGAAUGAUAUGACCGCUGCGGUAGUGGCCAGGAACCUUCUCACUCCCAAAGAUAACAGACUACUUUCCAAACGGUCUGAUGAGUUGGCUGUUAAGGAUUCUCUGGCUCUCAGUGUUCAGUGUGCAGGUUCUGUGUCUAAUAUGGCCCAACGCCUAUUUGCUCGAACCCGCCAAGUUGAAUCAUUGGCGGCUGAAGUGAUGAGUCUCAAACAGGAGAUUAGAGGGCUCAAGCAUGAGAAUAAACAGUUGCACCGGCUCGCACAUGACUAUGCUACAAACAUGAAGAGGAAGCUUGACCAGAUGAAGGAAUCUGAUAGUCAGGUUUUACUUGAUCAUCAGAGAUUUGUGGGUUUGUUCCAAAGGCAUUUAUUGCCUUCGUCUUCUGGGGCUGUACCGCGUAAUGAAGCUCCAAAUGAUCAACCUCUGAUGCCUCCUCCUUCUAGGGUUUUGUCCAGUACUGAGGCUCCGAAUGAUCCUCCUCCGGUGCCUUCUCUUUCUGGGGCUCUACCGCCUGCUGAGACUUCUCCUAAGCAACCUUUGUGAAGGCUCCCUCUUGUUUGUUUAUUUUGACUCAAGUAUAUGUACAUAUUUGUAACUUAUCGGGGAUAUCAAUAAAUAAGCUUUCCUUCAUUUCAACGUAUUGUGUUAAAUACACCAAAGCCUUCUUCGCUAAGUUCUUUGAAUUUUCUUUUGUUGAAGCUUGUAUGUUGAAGCUUUGUGAGUGGAGCAUAUAGGUUGAGGUAGUGUUCCCUUAAUUUCCCGAGUGAGGAAAAACUUCUUGGUUGGAGACUUGGAAAAUCCAAGUCACUGAGUGGGAUCGGCUAUAUGAAUCUUAGAACGCCAUUGUGUUCUGUCCUGUGUCAUGUCCUCCGUUAGAUCCAAGUACUCUAAGUCUUUUCUUAGGGUCUCUUCCAAAGUUUUCCUAGGUCUUCCUCUGCCCCUUCGGCCCUGAACCUCUGUCCCAUAGUCGCAUCUUCUAAUCGGAGCGUCAGUAGGCCUUCUUUGCACAUGUCCAAACCACCGUAACCGAUUUUCUCUCAUCUUUCCUUCCAUUUCGGCUACUCCUACUUUACCUCGGAUAUCCUAAUUCCUAAUCUUAUCCUUUCUCGUGUGCCCACACAUCCAACGAAGCAUCCUCAUCUCCGCUACACCCAUUUUGUGUACGUGUUGAUGCUUCACCGCCCAACAUUCUGUGCCAUACAGCAUCGCCGGCCUUAUUGCCGUCCUAUAAAAUUUUCCCUUGAGCUUCAGUGGCAUACGGCGGUCACACAACACGCCGGAUGCACUCUUCCACUUCAUCCAUCCAGCUUGUAUUCUAUGGUUGAGAUCUCCAUCUAAUUCUCCGUUCUUUUGCAAGAUAGAUCCUAGGUAACGAAAACGGUCGCUCUUUGGUAUUUCUUGAUCUCCGAUCCUCACCCCUAACUCGUUUUGGCCUCCAUUUGCACUGAACUUGCACUCCAUAUAUUCUGUCUUUGAUCGGCUUAGGCGAAGACCUUUAGAUUCCACCUAAGAACAACAAAGUAAAGAAAUAUAGUUUACAAAGUUAACCUGAAAAGCAACUUGAGAUUGAUUCUAACCACCCCUUCUACCACAGUCACCAACCGCCAAAAAGCUGAGUGAGCCAUCAGGUUUCACAGGGUGCUCAAAUCGCUGAAGCUCCGCCGUCGACACAGAAACAAAGCUCAACCAAAUAAUAUUCAUGAAAACAACCACCCACAGCAACCCCAUGGCUAUGGACAUCGGCUAGCCAAUAUUAUGUUUCUGUGUUUUAGAAGUUGGAACUAAAAGAAAGUAAAACGCUGAGUAUAUUAUAUUAUCUGUAUAUAAAGAGAGAGUGCUUUAAUUAAUAUGAAUUAUUGUUGUGAGGGCAAUGUAAGAGAAAAAUUUUAGUGUGCCGAAAAUACAACUUAGUACACUAAGUAUAUAAUACAAGUGAUUGGAAAUUUCUUUUUUAUAAGUAUUCAACCACUUGUAUCGUAACAAUUGGUUUAUUGGACCGUGCUCAUGACACACUAAAAACUCUCUUACCAAUGUAAUAAUGCAAGGAUAAUACCUACGUUCUUUUGGAAUAUACAUAUCUCAUUUCUCUCGAAUAACGUAUAUUUACUAUAUAAAUUUUAUAAUUAGAAUCGUUGGAUUACUUAAUCUUUAUUUAACUAUCAUUCCUACAUAAAGUAUUCGAAUAAAAAAUAAUUUAGUAAUUCAAAUGUAUGAAAUAGAUCGAUGGUGUAAGUACCAAGAAACAUAUUCAAGAUGAGCCGUCUAAUUAUUUGAUACAUUUAAUUGACUAACUGAUCUCUUAUUCCAACUUUUUUGUAAGAAUGAUAUUCAAAGAAAGAUUAAGAAGAUGAACGAUUCUGAUUGUAGAGUUUAUACAAUUAAGAUAUGUUAUUUGUAAGACGUGUAUAUAUGCAUUUCCCGUCAGAGCACACAAGUAUUAUUCAUAAAAUAGUACUAUUCACACAUUCAUUUACCUUCCACUCAUCUUUAUUAAUUUUUUGUCAUUAAUUUUCUUCAACUCAUUCAAUCCAACUGUCAAAGAUUAAGAGAAGAGUGUAAGAAUUAAAAAUGAGUGUGUAAUGCAAUUAGAUUCUGAAUUAGGCAAAUGUAGACAACGGAAAGUGAAUGCUACGUAGACCCCCUACCGAUCCGUUUAAAGUUACUCCAAGUCCAGUCGGCAUCUGCAGUGCAAAAUGUGAUGUUGCUGGGUCCCAUCGAUAAGUCUAGGUUCUAGCCUCCUAGGGUUGCUUUCCUUCCCAAUUUCCUAGCAACUUCCUACCUUCCCAAUUUCCUGGCAACUUCCUACAUCUUGUUUUUCUCUUCUCUCACUUUCAGGUUUUGGGAUCAUAGUUUGGCAAUCAAGUGACAGUCCUACACCGAUCACUUGCUAGCUCAAGUCCAAAUAUACAGAAGAAAAUGAAUGCAUGAUGCAUAAGCUUUUCUACAAAUCACUAGGUAUGUAAUUGUCUUUUGAUGAUAAAACAACCAUUUUAAUACUUAAGUUGUGCCACAAAUCAACGUGAACCUAUUAUAAUAUUCGAUUUGGUACUGAUAUUGUUUCAAACUUAAUAAUUCGACAUCAACUUAAGCACCUAAGUUCGUCCACAUCCAUGACUUAUAUUGAGCCGUACAAAUACUAAAAAUAUCUUGGUAACACGUCUUAGUAUAUUUUGUGAUAGAGCCAGGAAGAACUGAAAUGAUGUCUUGAUUUUGUGUUUCUAGUUUCUAAUCAAGUCAUGCCUCGAUUCUAAGAUAUGCCCAGAAUUGGCACAUGAUAGCAGAAAAUAAGGGUAUAAUAAUACAUAAAGUCAGUUGAUACACAUACAUAAUACAUAUAAGAUAUUCAACGGGUUUUACAUGACACAAGGGAUUGGUGUCAAAUUAUAAAGAAAUAGACCAUAAAAUGUAACAUGGAGGGAAUUAGAGAAACUCUCCAUGAGCAUUACAAGAUCAUAUACGAGGGUUUCAUAGAUGACACCUCCCAAGUACGGUUCUGUGAAUUCCUCUCACAUGCUUUUGUAAUGCUUGUGAAAAGUUUCUCUACUUCCCUCCAUGUUAUAUUUUGUGGUCUAUUUAUUCAUAGCUUGGUAUCAAUCCCUUGAGUCUUGUUAAACCCUCAUCCAAACAUACCCUAAAGUAAUUUUGAAUAUCUUCUUGUUAAAAAAAACCGACGAUUUUGAUAAGGAUCAAUGUACUAAAUAAGGUACAUAUUUAAGAAUAAGAACAAUUUGAGAAUUGAAUCCAACUACAAUUUUCAGCCUUGCAACUACAAUCUAUUCGGCUCUAGUACAUUCCCUCUUGCAUCUAGCUAAAAAACAUAAUUUAUAUCGAGGGGUGAAGCUGCUUGGAAGCAUUCAGUCUAUGUAAAACCUUGCCAAAAACAUCAUAAAAUGCAAUCUCUGCAUCUGUGGGAUUCAACUUCACAGACAUAAAGCCUUGACCAUCAUAAAAGAAGUUGAGCCCUUCUUUGCUCAGCCCCUUAACAUCUCCCCUCCAUGCUUUAGACCCUGCUCCGCUUGUUAGAAACUGUAUCGGGCUGCAUUUACAUUCGAGUUUCAAUCAGCAUCACCGUCGUGGGGUCACAUACAAGUUACUUAAGCUUAUACUUCAUGACUCUCGUUUAGUGCUUAGGAUUGGAUUGUAUGGGAUAAUCACCACCAGAUUCAAUGUGUUGAAGCAAGAAAUGAAUGUUAACUUCCAAAUCUAGCGAGUUAUCCAAUAUCCAGUCCAAGGUACCAAACAAGGCUUUCCAAUUUUAAGCAACACCAUGAAAACUACCUAAAUUAAACUUCUGUACCUCUCUAAGUCGCUAACGUGUUCUAGGCAAUGAUUGUGCCCGUUCAUGUAAAAAUCAACGUCAUUGGCCUGAGAUUUAUGAAGGAUUUAGUAGAGUUAGCUUUCUUCAUAUGACAUAGUUUCAUCACAACUUAUUCUUAUCGAAGAUUUAUAGAAAUACAUACCCGAAGGAUUGGGAGAAGCUGGUUUAUAAGCUCCUGUGUGUCACCAUGAUGCCCUACACUUCGAAUUGCAUGGUGUCCAACAACAAUCUUCCACUUUGCAGGGGAUGUCUUCAAUGCAAACUCCACAUCCUAUUACCACAUCAGAUGUAUCAAUAUGCAUCAUGGUUUUCACUAAGAUGUCAAUCUGGUGGUUUCCCACGCUAAAUACGCACUGCCAUGCGUUUUAAGUUUCUCACAUUUUAGGCAACAUUCAAAUUCAAAAUGGUAGCAGAAAUUUGAUUAUACCUUCAACAAGUUUGCAAUAUAAGCCUUUCGAGGGACAAUGCCACGCCAAUCGUAAGUAUGUUCGUCUGCGUUUGUGAAGUACAUAUCCACCAAAGGCGUGGUGUCCACGAAGAAAAUCUCCGCUAGUUCUGGAGGAAAAAGGAUAUAGGAAGCAACUGCUUAUGAAGUUUUGAUCGAGUUUCCAGGGAUUUCAAUUCAUUGUAUAGAAAAGAAGGAAACUCAAGAGCUCUUAUGUUAUGCACACCUGUAUUCACAAUGAAAGACCUCAAGCAAAGCCAUCUGCUAUCGAUUUUCCGGAGGAGGGGGCUCAGUUGAGCCUCUGCAUCUCCCCUGUAAUCAUGGUUCCCCAACACUGGCAUUCAAAGUAAACCAAGGAUAAUUAUUAUCAAGGUGUUUGGACCCAAAUUUACACUAUCGGCCCGUGCAGUCAAGGCCGUUAGAUGAGUAAAGUUCUAGACCGUGGGAUGAUAAAGUGGUUGAGAUAAUUUUCAAUUAUUAUUAAGAACCGUGUGGAGAAAUUCUACAAGGUUGGAAUGGGAUGAUCAGUAUGAUGAGAUGCUGUGCGUGCGAAAGUCUCUCAGAUAUCUACUAUAUAUAUAUAUAUUAGGCCUGCAUGCCUAUGCGGCUAUGCCGUGCGUACGAAAAGCUCCCAACUCCUAAAAUAUCUAUUAUAUAUAUAUAUAUAUAUAUAAUAGUGGUUAUUACUAUUUGGUCAGAUGAUGUGAUAAGUCUUGAUAGACUUUUGGUUUGUUUGAGAAGGCACGACAGCUUGAAAGGAUAGCCCUCUGAUAUAUCAAAUUUCUUUUCACAAGUUUGAGUUACAAAUGAACUCUAUGAAGUUACCAGGCCGUGCCCAGCAAGAACUGAUCACUAUAAGUACAAGGCGCUCUGCAUCAGAAAAAGGACCCACAAAAUCAAUACAAAAUUGCCAUGCGCAAACUCUCACAACUUGAGAUCUUUUUCUUUUCCUUUUUCGCUGACACAUCUUCCGUUGGCAUCAACAGCACUGUGGAAGCAACCGGUGAUAUCUUAAGUCGGCAUAGAUAGCUCUGUCACCGUAGAGUCGGUCGGUCUCGCAGUAUCUUCCGUUGGCAUCAACAGCACUGCGGCGAGAACGGUCGAUUACCUAUCCAAGUCUCGGUCGAGAAGGGUUUUCGAAUCCUUGUUGGUCGAGGUCAUCUCAUUAGCCUUCUCGGCGAGGUGAGGUGUCACAGUUAUUACAUUCGGCACAUUGCAAGCCGAAUUCGGUUCGUGAACUUUGUAAGAAAUAGCAGCCUUGUCUUCAGGCUCGAGAACCCAAGAGGCCGAGACGUGUUCCUUUCUCGGCCGCAAUCGCAAGACGCAGAAGUCAGUAGCGCGACCCAACGCAGCAUCAUCAAAUUUACUCCUCGGCCGAGCCUCGGCCGACGAGUUGGCACGCCCGCAAUCACCGAAGGACGUAGUUAGCUUAGAAUAUACUUGGCCUGCGCGCCACGUAGGCUUUGUAAUUUCUAGGGUCAACAUUUUGGCACGCCCAGUGGGACCCAGUGCUAAACUACGAAGUUCACAUGAUCUAUCUCGAUCCGGCUUCAAGGGAUGAGUGUUAUCGCCUAUUAAAGAAGCAAAAACAACUUCUCGAGAGUUUGAGAAGAAUUUCUGAAAGGCAAGAGGCCGGGGGGCAAAUCUCCACUCCGGCCACAACCAAUAUUCGGCCUAAGAAAAUUGUUAAUUUGGCCGAAGAACAAAGGCCACCUAUUUUUUCGGUCGAGGCUGAAAGUGUGGUAGGCCUAGAAGAAAAAGUUCAAAUUUCUGAGCCACAAAUUGACUCAGAAAAUGAUUCGUCAGAGGAGUGCUCCAAUGACGAACAAGACCAACCCAUGACUUCUGACCAUAAAACCACAUCAAUUGAUAUGGUAAUUGGAGACAUGGUCCUAGACGCCGAAACCAUGACAGUCGAUAUGGUUAUUGGCGAUAAAGCCGAUGUAGAGAUAUCUCAUUCGGCUAAGUUAUUCAAGUUAAAAGCCGAAGUUAUGCCUGGGGGGCAUAAUAAUUGUCUAACAUAUUCGGCGGCCGAAAAUGAAAAAUAUUUCGCCAAGUCAAAAAUAUUUGGGGAAAAGUUUUUAUUCGGCCUAGGGCGAAAUCAAAAUUUUGUUAUUGCAAGAUCUCGGCUUGGAAUAAAGCAUUGUUGGCCUCCUCCUGACUAUGGUUCGGCCACUUUUAUUUCCAUUUAGAAAAAAAUAAAAAAAGAAUAAAUUAUUUUCUUAAUUAUCUGGCUAAGUAAGCCGAUGCAUAAGAAAAUAAGGGGGGCAACAAGAGUGCGGCAAUCCAAGCUUAUAUAUAUUAGUUGGCCGAGAAGAAAAAGAAACAAAGAAAGCCUCGGCUACUUUACAAAAGCCUCGGCCUCGACCCCAUUACAAAACAAAGCCUCGGCCGAAAUAUAUAUAUAUGUAAAAAAAAAAAAAAUUCAUUUUGGCCGAAUGAAUGCUUUUGGCCGAAUUGUCAUGGAUAUAUAUAUAAGCAUGGGACUUUGAAAGGUCCAAACUGAAGACAGGCUUUAAGCCUAAAGCCUAGACCUAAGGGUGGCAGGUAUUUUUGGCAAAAGUGGUUGACUAAAAGAGAGAAAGAAAAGAAAAGAUGUGAUGGAGAUGCAUGGCAGUUUGCUUUACAGCUUGCUUUGGGGUGCUAUUACCAAGAAGGAAAGAUAUAUAUAUAUAUAUAUAUAUAUAUAUAUAUAUAUAUAUAUUUUAUAUGUGCCAACUGCAUGGCUGGCCGAUCAUAUCAGACAAUCAGGCUAAUUAUAUAUAUAUAUAUAUAUAUAUAUAUAUAAAAGCAGCUUUUGCCCGAAGGAAUGCUUUUGGCCAAAUGAAAAGGUUUGGCAGAGUACAAUAAGUUUAAUAUAUAUAUAUAUAUAUAUAUGUAUAUGUAUAGGCAGGCCGAGCUCCAACAAUCUGUCUCGACCUUCCAAAUAUUUCUCGACCUCGGCCUCGAUGAAGACAGCAGCAAAAGAGAGGUGGAGACUCGGUCAAAAGGACAUGUUUGUGAGCGUGGGAUGCCAUGAGUAAUGUCUGACACAAGUUCAAUUCAUGGCCAAAUUACAGUUUCUUUGGGCAGACAAUCCUUGUCCUUCUUUGGGUGCUUUCUUUUCGGCCACUUUGUCUCAUUUGGUGCUGUUGUACUCUUGAUCAUCUGGAGAAACUUAAUUUCCUUAACCAUUCGGCUUACGAGCCGAAGCUCAAGGAAACUGGGGGGCAAUGUUUGGACCCAAAUUUACACUAUCGGCCCGUGCAGUCAAGGCCGUUAGAUGAGUAAAGUUCUAGACCGUGGGAUGAUAAAGUGGUUGAGAUAAUUUUCAAUUAUUAUUAAGAACCGUGUGGAGAAAUUCUACAAGGUUGGAAUGGGAUGAUCAGUAUGAUGAGAUGCUGUGCGUGCGAAAGUCUCUCAGAUAUCUACUAUAUAUAUAUAUAUAUAUAUAUAUAUAUAUAUAUUAGGCCUGCAUGCCUAUGCGGCUAUGCCGUGCGUACGAAAAGCUCCCAACUCCUAAAAUAUCUAUUAUAUAUAUAUAUAUAUAAUAGUGGUUAUUACUAUUUGGUCAGAUGAUGUGAUAAGUCUUGAUAGACUUUUGGUUUGUUUGAGAAGGCACGACAGUUUGAAAGGAUAGCCCUCUGAUAUAUCAAAUUUCUUUUCACAAGUUUGAGUUACAAAUGAACUCUAUGAAGUUACCAGGCCGUGCCUAGCAAGAACUGAUCACUAUAAGUACAAGGCGCUCUGCAUCAGAAAAAGGACCCACAAAAUCAAUACAAAAUUGCCCUGCGCAAACUCUCACAACUUGAGAUCUUUUUCUUUUCCUUUUUCGCUGACACAUCUUCCGUUGGCAUCAACAGCACUGUGGAAGCAACCGGUGAUAUCUUAAGUCGGCAUAGAUAGCUCUGUCACUGUAGAGUUGGUCGGUCUCGCAGUAUCUUCCGUUGGCAUCAACAGCACUGCGGCGAGAACGGUCGAUUACCUAUCCAAGUCUCGGUCGAGAAGGGUUUUCGAAUCCUUGUUGGUCGAGGUCAUCUCAUUAGCCUUCUCGGCGAGGUGAGGUGUCACAGUUAUUACAUUCGGCACAUUGCAAGCCGAAUUCGGUUCGUGAACUUUGUAAGAAAUAGCAGCCUUGUCUUCAGGCUCGAGAACCCAAGAGGCCGAGACGUGUUCCUUUCUCGGCCGCAAUCGCAAGACGCAGAAGUCAGUAGCGCGACCCAACGCAGCAUCAUCAAAUUUACUCCUCGGCCGAGCCUCGGCCGACGAGUUGGCACGCCCGCAAUCACCGAAGGACGUAGUUAGCUUAGAAUAUACUUGGCCUGCGCGCCACGUAGGCUUUGUAAUUUCUAGGGUCAACACAAGGUAAAAAGAAAAAUAAGAUUAAUAUAACAAUAAGCAUUUUUCAUUAACUUUCGAACGUGAGACAACUCUUCACAUCAUCGCAGGAGAAACUUACCGCUAUACCACUGCUUUUGCAGGCUCUCUUCUGUAUAGAUUUUGGUAAAUGACUCUUCAAAUGCUGUGUCAUGCUCGCUGAUGAGCCCAUUGUCGUAAAAGUUAUCUCCCGUCGACACCACGAAAUCUAUGUUAAGUUUAUCUCCAAUCUUUCCCAUCUGCAACAAAAGUAGUUGUGCAUGUGCCAAAGCAAAAUUGUUAUUAGCACUCCAAAAAUGUUGAUUCCGCCGAAAAUCAUGAGAAGAAUGUUAAACGAAUGAGAACAAGGUUUGGAAAUUGUGGAAAGGAACCUGAAAGGCAACUUGAGACUGGUUGAAAUCUCCUCUCCUUCCCCAGUCCCCAAUCACCAAGAAGCUGAGUGAUCCAUCUUGUUUGGUGGGGUGGUCGAAUCUCUGCAGUUCUGCGGAUGUAAUUACCAGACAUAGGGCAAAACUGAGGAUCAAGAAAAAAAUAGAGGUUCUAUAGUUUUUAAAAGGAAUAGCCAUGGAUGGCUAUGGAGUUUAUGAGAAAAAUCGAACCAAAUGUAUAUAUGAACGAGGCAAAAAGUAUAGACUCGAUGAAUAUUUGGGGGUAAUCUUCUUCCUUGUAUUAAAGUGUCACAGUCCACUGCCUUUAUAUACAACAAGGUUGAUAAUUAAGUAGGAGACAAAGAUGCUUAAUUAUAAUUAUGAAGAUGAUGAUGCAAAAGGAUUGGGAUUAGGUUCCACUUAACUCUGAAUUCCGCGAUACGACGUGAGGAAUACUGAAGAAUAUUCUCCAAGUCACGCUCAAGAAACUUGAACAUGGAAUAUAUUUUCACUGGCUCAUGAAUUGGUGGAAAUAAAUACCAAGUUGUCAUAAUUUUGAACUUGAAAUCUCUUCUAAUAUCGGAACAUACAGUUUGCCACGUAAAUGUUAGUUAAUUUGAAAUAUUUGUUAGUUUUUGCAGAUUCUGUGUGUAUAAAAUAUUGGUUAAAUUUGACUGGGUUUGGCAGGGAGAACAUGAUGAGAAUAUUUAGUUUCAUGGAUUCUAAAUGGUUGGCAGUUCCAAGAUAAUGUUAGGGUUUUGCAACUUGAGUCAAUUAUUACACCAAAACAGAAAAGGAAUUGAUAACGAUCCAGACGUCACAGAUAGGAUGACGAGAUGCGAAUAUGCGCGGGCAUAUAUGUUGGAACCGUUAGAAUAUUCGGAGGAUCCAAAUCCAAGGUCGGCGAGAACCAGUUUGCCUCCCCAAUCGUAGGACUGCAGGCAGGGCAGAUGUCAUCGUCUCCAAACUCCAAAGUAGUUGGCCAAAAUAUCCUUCACUUGUUGGAUUGGUCCUUGGAUGGAUGAAUAUUUAUGUCCGGACCAAUCAGAAACUCGUAUCGUUAAUUAGCGAAGCGCAAUAAUAAUACAGCAACGUAUGACGUUUUAUUUUUAAAUUUUUUUCACGCUUUCAAGAUUAUGAAAAUCGAAAAGCAAUAAGAAUACGUGUUGUAGUAACUCUAGUCUAUACGUUUAUGUCAUUACAUAAGAAUCUGAUUAACUUUUUUUUUAUAGAUAAAACGAUAUUUUAAAUUACUUUAUUACUUGGGUAAGUGGUGGAUCAUCGUGAUGGAUAAAGUACUCUUCUUCAAUCUAUUUUGUUAUGUGUUAAAAGCUCACCACUCUCCCACUAAUCUAUCUUAGGGUAAGAAUAUCAUGUGUAAUGAAAGUAAAGAACUAUUUAAUCCGAAGGAUGGGUACACAAAAUUAGAUGUUAAAGAAAGACAUAUUGUUCUAAUCAACUAGACCUAACCUGCACAUGCAUAAUUCGAUUAUAAACCUAAAACCAAACUUGGGUUGUGACGUUGUCAUAAGCUAAAGGGUUAAUGUUUUGGGUGCCCAAAAUCUAAUAUGUGAGCUAAAGUAGGCCUUCUUCAGCCGUUAAAACCCAAAAUCGAAUUAUUAUUGUUUUAGUCGGCCCAAAACUGAGGUCGGUUCGGACAAUGGAGAGCUUUAUAUAACAGCCCAAAGCCACAAAUACAGAAUUCAAUUCCUCAUUAGGGAUUUGCUUACGUUCCAGAAAGCAUAUCUAAUUGGGGUAAAAAAACAAACGUCCAUAGCUCUCUCAAAAAUGCUAAGAGCAGAAGAUGAGGACGCUUCAGAACUCAAACUUGGAGACGGUAUCUGAUUCAUUAUUAUCAAUUUCUUUCAAAGUUCUUAAUUGGCUGCGAUUGCGGUUUUCGGUCAUGACCUAGGCAUAAACUUUUGUGUAUCAAAAUCUAAAGGGCACAAAACCGAUAGGCACUGUAAACGUGACAUUGUACAACAAUGGCGUUCAUAAUUUAAUGAUAUAAUAAUUUAAGAUGUGAGACGAAGGAUAUGGAGUAUAUAUUUUUAUCUAGGGUUUGUGUGCAUUAAUUGAAUUUGUGUAAAGAUGAACAUUAUUCCGUGACAUUAUCUUUCUUUGAAGAAAACACGCUAGAGCAUCACUUUUUGGACCUUCAAGCACUAAACUUCUCUAACUUACCACCGGAUUCAAUUGUAAACCUAGUUUGAGUAUUCAAUUUUAGGGUAAUAUCUGGUCAUUAUUUGUUUUACAUUGAGAUUGUCGUUGUCAGAUUUUUUGAAGGCGAAGUGUCUGAUGAAUAGUGAGGUUGCCAUUCUUCUUGAGCACAGAUGUGAUCAGAUGAAGCAUAUGUCCGGCGAAUCAAUGCACCAACUUCCCCAGUAAGAUUUAAUUCUAGUACUCUUUGACACCAAAAUUUAGUAAAAUUAUGGAUGAUCAGUUCAUAUAUAGUUAGCUGGUAGAUAGAAAGGGUGCUCGAUCGUCAAUUUUUUUGUUUGUCCAGGCUUAUAAAUUUACUAAUCACUUGUUAUUUUCAUGGCCAGAGUGCUGGAGAAAUCACUGCAGUAUGUUAAGCGCUUCAGUCGCUUCACGAAUCAGGGCUCUGUGAAGCAAGUUCGAGAGUAUCCUUCAUUGAUGAUGUAACUUCAGAUAUCGUCACACUGAUGAAUUGGUUUAUGUAUGGUCUGGUGAAAUCUUUAGGAUUCAUGUUGGUUCAAUACAAGCAUGUAAUGCCCUUAUAAUGGAGAAACUUAAUAUUAAUAUAGGUUAUCUAAUUGCACUUCUUAAUUUAAUUAUAGUCUUCUUCUUUUCACUUUAUAUCAUUCAUACAUGUUUAAUCCUUAAGUAUUAUUCAGAGUUCUCAGUAGAUACCAGUUGGCUGAAUUCGAGGUAAUGGACGAAUAAUCAAAAGAAUAAAUUACGCUUUGUUUUAGAUAAUAGCCUUCAUAUUUCCUCUACUCCGCAGCUUGCUGUGAUUGGAAAUCUUUGUCCUGAAACUGUGGAGGAAGCCAAGGCAGUUGUGCCUUCCCUCAAGGUAGUGUUGUAAAUCUCAUAUUUCAUGUCUACAUAUCUCAGGUUAUAACAAGGCAAAUAUUUAUAUCUCAGCAUCGCACCACUUCGUGUGCCCGUUUGAUAACCUUUUGGUUUUUAAUUAGUUUUCAGUAUUUAGCGUUAUAUGGCAACUUUGUUUAUCUUUACUUUUCUUAUUAUGUUAAUAUGGAGUAUGUAUGUUUGCAAAAACUAAAUUAUGAUGAAUCUCCUGUCUGAUCAAACUGCAGACGAAAGGACGUGGGCACGAUGAUGAAGCCAUUGAGAGACUGUUGAAUGACCUAAUGAUGAUUAAAAAGUUUGAGUGAAUAUAUGCUUCACUGUUUUGGUGAAUUGAUGUUCUCAUCUCUUGGUGAUUUAUUUCUACUUCAAGUUCAACUUGAUCCAAAAUGUGUAGCUAAUUUCUCUCUUCAAUAUGUACAUUGAAACUUGAUAAUUAACCUACCAGUCAGCAAUUUUUGGUUAGGCGAGCGAUUGAGACAUUAGACACAUUAAUUAGGGUGCAAGGAAGCACCUAACCUACUCACAUGGACCUGUCUAGCCCGUUGUUCUUGGCUCAUGUCUUAGGCAGGCUUAGUAUAUGGUCCAAUAUUCUUAUUUUUCCAUUUGAAUUUGGUCCGACCUCGGCCUAUAUGAGAAGUUUUAGCAUACGGACACAUGCCAGAACUUCUCUACCUAUGCGUCUCUAAGCCAUAACUUCUCGACCUAUACGCUUCAGGCUCGAUCUUGUUAAGGGUUGAUCUUAUCGAUGCUUCUUCUUAUUGUUUUUUAAUUGAAGCAUCAAUUAAGAAAUUUUGGCAAACUGAGCGCAUGUUAAAAUUGUUUAAUGGCUAAACUGACACGGAAUCUCGUACUCCUAUUCUCCUUAGAAUUUAGUUUUCUUUAAUCAGUUCCUGUCCCUUGCAAUUAAUUAAUAAUACAAGAAAGAAACGGUUUGUAAUUGUAUUGGAGAAGGAUUCAAACAUGCAUAUCUAAUGUCUUAUCCAACCAUAUAUACUUAUAUUCUUCACUAUAUACAUGAAUUAAAUUAAGUUGAGCAUAUAACCCAACUCUACCCUAUUUAUGACAUUUUUUUGGUUUAUUUUGUUUAGGUUGUGGUUUUGUUGUAUGUGCCUGGCAAAAGACUAUGUCGACUUCUCUGUAUUGUCUCAUAGCAAGGCUUCUUUGCUAAGGUGCAACGUUAUGUGCAAGUGUAUCAGAAGGUGUUGCAAAGGUUUUGCCCUCAUGAGCGUAUCUUCUGAUUGGUACGAUGUGGUUAUGUGGGUUGGGUUUUGUUUCGUCUUUUUUUUGCGUUUGUAAUCCGGGAAUUAUUCAUGAACAAUGAUGUAUCUGAUUCUAUUGUAUAGUGAAAUUUCUACCUUAAAAAAAAGUCAUGCCUUACCAAAGUGUAUAACAAGGACUUGAAUUCUCUAUUCGGAUCUCCCUUUUCAGAUCAUUUCCUAAACUCUAAUUCUGAUCGUUCAUGCAAUUUGUCAGGCCACGAAUCAAUUUUAAUUUCUUCUUCUUUUUCACGCUACACGCAAAAUGAUCUUUUCGUGAACGGUUAGGAUUGAGUUUUGUAAAGAAUUCUGAAGGGGGAGAUCCGAAGAGAAUCUGGACCCCAAAAGAAGCAGCCCUCAUAAAAUUAACAACAACAUGCAAUUCAAUAUGGGUGUGUAUGUGAAUAAGUGAUGGGUCUGAGUAGUAAUUAUGUGUGUAGGUGUAGCGGUCCCGCCCUGUAUGGCCUGUGGAAGGAAAAGGGAUGACCUGGUGGUUCCAUCCACUCUCCCGAAUGUUACUCCUCAAUUCAAACCUGACCUGACAGACUGACACCUCUUAAUAAUAUUAUAUAUACCUGUUGUUGUAUAAAGUAUAAUAAAGAAAAUUUUUGUUUAAUCUGUCCAGGAACAAUUAGAACUAGUACAAGAGAAGAUAAUAAUAACAAUUUGAUUCAUAUUUUUUGUAUGGAAAUUCUACUGUACCUUUUGAAAAGACAGGGUAUUGGUGUCCAAUAUUGACUAUAUAUGGUGAGGUUACAAAAUGGUAUCUGUUUGUAACACCAUUAAGGUUGAUUGUUACAUUUUGAACAUCUUGAUAUAGUAUAAAGCAACAAAAUAGUAAGAAUUAUCCAUUAUCGUUAUUUAUAUUUAUGCUACUUUCUUUGCGUUUAAUGAUCUUAGAACAUGACAUUAACAUUCAAUGUAAAUUACAAGUAAAGAUAAAAUCAAGCCUUAGUUGUCAAAGUUUAUAGUCUAAAGCAACAAAAUAAUGAUAAAGUUAUAAUUAAUAACACAAAAUGACUUAAUGAAUAAUGUAACAAGUUUGGAUUUUACAUUGUAGAUGUCAUAUUACAUUACACUGUCAAAGUAGAAUGCUAUGCAGGAACAGAUUAAGGGUACCAGUUUGGUUAUUAAGUUGUAGGCUAACUAUUGUGUGAUAUUCAUUAUGUUAAAAUUAUGUGAGUUACAAGACUACAAGGAGUUAAUUUUGGUGUCAGCGAUUGACCAAAAAAAAAAAAAAUUUUGGUGUCAGCUGGAGAAACUGAGGGAAGUUGCAGGACUGAAGGAGAAGAAGGAGAAGGAGAAGGCAGGCAGGCAAGAAAGAGAGAAAGACAGGUUCCCAGUAUGUAUGUAUGCAUGUAUACAUAUAACUUGCUAUAAAGCAGAGGAACGUCUACAUCCCUCCUCGGUAUUCCAUGAGAUGUGAAAGCUCAGUGACAUCCAGUUUAUGCUGCUAUCAACUCUCUCUCUCUCUCUCUCUCUCUCUCUCUAGUUUUGUUUCUCUCUCUUGUUGAUUUAUGACCAACCCAAUGGGGCGGUGGUUGAUUUCAAUAUUUGCCUCGGGGUCGGGGGCUAUGUGUGAAUAAUAAGAAGCAGAAGAAAGAAAGAGAAACAAGAAAAAAGUCAAAAGAACUCAAAUCCCAAACAAAUUCAAGGGGGGAGGGGCGCAGUGGCAAAACCCUAAUUUUCAUAAUUUCACCAUAAAGAAAGACAGACAUAAUUCACAGGAGCCUAGAUAGCUACAGGUAGCCCUUCUUUUUUAUUUUGUCAAUAAAGCGUUGGAAUUGCUGUAUAAAGUGUUGUCUCUGUGUGUGGUUUCUCUCUCCUCUCCAUCAAUCAUAAAGCAAUCGAUUGCAAAAUCAUUUCUCAUGCAUCUUUUCUUUUCUUUUGUUUCCUGUGCCCACUCUAAUCAAUUCUACUACUGGUUCCCUUGGAACUGACGUCCUAGGUACCCUUCCUUUUUUAAUUAAAAAUAGGGGUGUGAUAUUCAUACAUCAUUUUUUACUUCUCACACAUUCUUUUAAUUUUCGACCAUUGGAUCAAAUGAAGUGAAGAAGAUCAAUGAACAUAAAUUAAAAAAAAUGUGUGUGAGAAGUAAAAAGAAAUAUAUGGAUAGCACACCUUUAAAAAUACUUAGAUGACACGAGUACAUGGUCAUUAUGACAUAUUUGCUAACAAAUAAUGACAUGAAAUUUUUUAUUCACAUAUUAUUUAUUGGAAAAUGAUCCUUUCCUAAGGAUCAUGGGGAUCGUGUAAUCAUGUACAUUCAUUGUAUAUCAUGCAAUUAGAAAUAAUUUAAAAUUUAAAAUUUAAAAUUAAAUUUAAAUAGUAUCUAACGAAAACUGACUGUACGAUGUACGAUGAACGGACAUGAUUACAUGAUCCUUUAGAUCCUAAAGAAAAGGAUCCGGCGAGGAUCCUUUUCCUUAUUUAUUGACACAAAACUCUAUGUAACAAUAUAUUAGAAAUUCUAAGAAAACUCUCUAUAGAUUCUCUGUCAUUUCAUAUUUUUUGCACAACUUCUUAUAAUAUUGGUGGGGAAUUGUGUCAAAAACAUAAGGUGACGGAUAAUCUUUGAAGAGUCACACUUUGGAAAAUUUCCUUAGCAUUUCUCAUGUUAAUAUUAUGUAAGUUGUUCUCCCACCUUCCCCAUUUGUAACUUUAAUCUCCAGUUCCCAGUAAAUAAAUAAACUAAUUGGCCAAUACUUAUACUAGCUCCUGUACCCCCCACUUGACUCAAGUCGGUAUACACAUGCCUUUCUAGCACAAAACUGAACUAAAUUGUGCUAAUGCUCUUAUGACUGUUAAUUUUUUACUCUAAUUGUGGAUGUCGAGUUUUUAUUCUUCAGUAUUUAAUUAGUAGUAUUUAACUCAAUCAUUCAUCGCAUGCAACAGAGGUAUUGAGCUUGAUUUACCGUUUUCUCCAAUACCACUUUUAUCUAGAAAAACAUAUGUAUGUAAGUUAGUUGUGUAUAUGCGAAACUUUUUAAGUACACCAAUUUCAUACAUACAUUGCAGAAUUUAAUUGUUCACUGAAGAAUCCAAGAGAAUUCAGGAUUGAUAUGACUCAUAUCAGCCACUUAACAUGUAUUGUUAAUCUCAACUUCUAAUUAUAUAAAAUUUAUAAGUGAGUGACCGAAUGUUUUGAUCUCUAAGUGGCCAAAGAGAACAUUUCUCUACAUUGUUGUAUAGUAAUAUGAAGAGUCGUUUUGAGAGGAAACACUUUUAAAGAAAAGAAAAAAAGUAAAAAGAUAGUCUAUUGGGAUAUUGAGUGGAGUGUUGCAAUCACAACAACUCUAGCUAGGGGUGUGCUAUCUACACACCCCUUGUUACUUCCUACAUACCCCUCUCAAUUUUCAGUUGUCGGAUUGAAUAAAUUGAAGAAGAUCAAAGGAUAAAAGUUAACAAAGGGUGUGUGAGAAGUACAAAUGAGUGUGUGGAUAGCACAAUCCUAACUUUAACAGUACUACAUAAUUGAACAAGUUUGUGUAAAAGUAUCCAAGUAGAAAUAAAUAUCUGAUCGAUCUCAGUCGACAUUUAUAUACAAGAACAAUUGUUAGGCUUUAGUUAAAUUGUACUUAGGCUUUGCACUGAAUAUAAAUAAUCUUCUUAUAAAUUAGAGAUUUAAAAUAUCGCGUGAUAAAAAGAAACAAAUUAAUUAAGCCUAUAAAGUAUUGAAACUAAUAUUCGAUGUGGAGUGGUUGUAGAUUGCAUUCUAACUAUGUGUGUCUUGAGUUUUGAGUCAAACGUGAACUUGCAUAAACCAAGAUCAAUUGAACACAUAAAACAAACUCAAACAGCACAGAAUUUCUGCGGUUCAAUCAAAUCCUAUCUACUUGAAUGUAUGAGAGAGAAAAAGUGAGGUCGAGAGAGCUUGGGAUAUAAACAAUUUUUUUUUUUUAAAUAAUGCCCUCAUUUGUCAGAGAAGAUUGUCUUAGAUAGGAUUAUUUACUGUGACGAGGCAUUUUAAAGAAAGAAAUUGAUGUUUAUUUUGUCCAAAUUAAAGGUAAUUUUCAACUUGAACAAAAUCUAGAAGUUGUCAUCCAUUUCGUUUUUCAAUAUUGUGCAUAAUUUUAUCCAUGCCAAUCCUCUGCAACAAACAAGCUUAUAUACAAAGUUACGGACACUAUAUAUGUAUAGGUAUAUAUAUGCAUGUUCAAAUAGAUCGACCUUGAUAUAGAUGAGGGACUUGCAAAAUCAUUAGAUACAAUACGCUUGAGAGGACUUUAUUUGAUGAGUCUUUAAAAUGCGUAAUUUUGAAAGUCAUUUGUUUAGCGUAUUUGUAGUGUUUUAGUAUUAGCUUCUGUAUUUUUCUUAGGACUUUGAAUGUCUCUCGUCGGAACAUACCCCCAAAUUAAAAUUGAAAUUACAUAUCCGGCUGGCCUCUUGUUUUGCCGAAAGGGUCCAUGGCUAGCUAUCUAAUUAUCAUUAGAUGGUGGACCUGUUGCCUAAGAAAGGGUGGCUGAGGGAGCUUCUAAGAAAGGUAAGAUUGUAAGAAGCAGGGCAACAUUCAAUUGUAGGUCUCAGCACGUAAUUUCCAACACCAGCUUUCCCCCUACUGCUGCUAUUGUCAUGAUCAAUGACCUCAAGAAGAAGUACGUACCUUGUUACCAAUCGUAAGCUACAAGGACCUGAAGAUAAAUCAGUAUUGGGUGAGAGAUCUGACGGGAUUUAGUGCAUGUGAGUGGGUAUAGUUUUCGAAGUUUAUUAUAGAGAUCCAUGGAAAUUGAUAUCUAAUAUGUUUUUCAUUAGUCAAGCGUUUAAUUAUAUGAGUAGCUUAAGCUGUUCAAUGCAUAUGGAAUGUCUAAUCUAUAGCUAGAGAUGUCUUUUUUCUGUAUUAAUUAAGAAAUGGAAAGUGACACUCUUUAUAUGUGAUUUUCUCAAGAGCAAAAUGGAGGAGUAGAAAAUAAUAGAGGAUAAUUGAAGAAUAAUUACUAAUCUUGAAGAACAAAAUAUCGUUUAAUUUAAUUUAUAAAAAUAAAUUAAUGUGUAGGGUUGGGUUUUGGGUGACCACCCUGACCAGUAGUGUUGACCAAAUAUACAAGGUUCAUUGUGUGCAUCUCGGUUUUUGGAAAGUGAAUGUGUAUUAUCUCAGUAGGUAGAAAUAGAAGCUAGCUAAUCAUUCCAUUUGCAAAAUAUGGAUGUCGUUAGUUAACUAUGGAAACCAAAUCUCCUUGAUUUCUGUUGUGUUAAAGGAUGUUUAAUUAGUCAAAUUUGUUACUUAUUAUAUGAAAAAGCAAAGUCCUCAUCAACAGUACCUGUUUUUCUUUACCUGAACUUGUCUGGUGCGUUGAGGGAAAAUUUGAUAAGUUAAACAUUAUUUGUGAACAUUUUGGUAACAAAUCCAUGAAUUUACCAUCUUAUUAUAAUUUAUUAAAAACAGCCUUAAAUUUACAUAUGCACUGCCAAUUGUCGAACAACUAAAAGGUGCUCUGAAAGCAGAUUGUGCUUUAUUGCAGUUACGAAAAAUAAUUAUGAUUAUGUAUUCUGAUGCGAGUUCGAUUCUUAUCGAUUCUCUUUCUCCUAACAAUUAACUAUUUAACCCACUCACACUUCUACUAAAGAAAAGUGCUAUGAAAAAUUUCAGUAUUAAUUAUGUAUUCCAUCCAAAGAAGUGAAGAGUACAAACUCAUCAUGUUAAUCUACUAUUAGAUCCACUGCUUGCCGACAUUGUUACCACAUACAUGUUUGUUUUUAGGAAAGGGAGAUCCCUUUCCUUGUUUUUAAAGAUAUGUACUGUUUACCUGAUAGAUGCAAAAAUCGAAAGAUUAAGGAAUCAUUUGGAAAUGUUUUUAAAAUGGUUAAAAGUGUUUUUUUGUGAAAACGUUUUUGGAACUAAUAUUAAUAAAAAUGCAAGUGAAUCAUGAUGCUUCUUGCAAGACGCACUUUUAGUCAUUUUGAAAUCCAAAAACAAUUUUCUAAAAAACACUUUCAGUCAUUUUAAAAACACUUUUAAACGAGCUUUAAUACUAACUACUUAAAUGUGUGGCAAAAAACUUGGUAAUCAGAACCGACAGAACCUCACUUCUUCUAUUCAUACAGCAAUGUACUAUUUAUGCAGGCAUGAAUGAUUUGACUCUACCUUCUCACUACAUGGGCAGACAGUAAUGAGUAUGUAUCCCGGAACAAUAUGAAGUUUAAUAAUUAUAGUAGUAGCAACUGUCAACUAUAUAUAUUUCAUACUCAAAGUUCAUUUCCAAUUCCAUACCAAAGAAAUACGAGUUUAUAACCAGUUAGGCAAGUUGCCUCUUGCUGUCGAGAGGUAUAAAAAAUUUAUAUUUUUGAGUUGGAAUUUUUGUGGAUUCUAAACGGAUAGAGAGAUAAUCUGGCAUACGACUAAGGGAAUAUCUACCUUACAACUAAAGAUAAAUCCUAAUGAUGAGACAACAAUUUUUUUUUUAAUGGAAGGCUUCAACGCUAUUUUUUUUUUUCAAAGGAAUAUAUCAAAUUUCAUACUUAGGGGUUAUUUCAAUUUCCAUACUAAAGGGAUUUGACCCAUUAGUUGCUCUCGAGCUAUCAAAAUUUCAUAUUAUUGAGUAGGAAAUUUUGUUGGUUCUUAAUAACCGACGGAGAGAAUUUGUAAUUGGAGAUAUAUCGGUGAGACAAUAAAUUAUCUUGAAUGGAAGGCUUCAAUAUUGCUACUUGUCAAUGGAAUAAUGCCAAAUACUGUUGCCUAAUGUUAUGAUUAGCAACGAUCGAUGAGAAUACUUAUUUCGAAUUAGAAAAAUAAAAGAGUAAUGCUAGGUAAACUACAUUUACAAACUAAAUGAUAUGUCUAAAUAAGAAAUAAUCACAUUAAUCAACAUUUAAAUAAUAAUCCAAUCAUCAACUUUCAGUCAUUGAGUUUAUAAAAUUUAGUCUACACAUUUAGUCUCCCUAGCAUUAUCGAAAAGAAAAACAUACUUACAAGCACAAGUACAAUAUAAGUAUUUGGUUUAAGAAUGCUGAUAAAUGAGUGUUUGAGCAACAAAUAUUAUUAGGGUAGUGUUAUCCAUACAUCUAUUUUUACUUCUCACAAACUUCUUUUAAUUUUUGGCCGUCCAAUCGAAUAAAUUGAAAAAUAUCAAUGCUAAACAAUUAACAAGAAUGCUUAGAAGAUAAUUGUGUGAACACACUGUUCUAUUAUUAUUCCACGACAAGGUGUUGCAUAAAUAUUUGUCCAAGACUCCAAGCUUAAUUGCAUCGGAAACAAAGGAUGAAUGGUUCAAAUUUUGACAUUUAUUUAUGCGUAUGGAAAUAAGUGAAAUUUAACUAAACUAAUUUGAAGCAUUAAAUGCAUUAAAUCUUUCACCUUUUCAAUGUAAUACACUUGCCUCAGCUGAGCAGUUUAAUUACUUGUUAAUUAAUUAGUUAAAUUAAUUUAAGACAUGGGGGCAUAUAUAGGGCCUUGUAACUCGUUAGUGUAGCAGUCGAGGACAUGUUUAAAUCUAAACCUGGUGAAUGCAUUAAAGAGACGAGCAUUAGAAAAAUGAAUUAGUAGGGAGAAAUUGAUGAUGAUUAGUUUUUAUAUAUGUUUAGUAAGUUGAUUUGGCCUAGGUUUCUGGAAUUGAUUAAGAUGUGUACGAGUCAAUGAGGGGAGGGUGUGGUGAAGGCUCGAAGGUCAUGUGGGGAUGACAUAAUACACGCAAAAUGCUGGACAAAUUUGUUGGAGGAUUAGAAGGGAAUAUUUUGGAGGAUGAAAAGGAAUAUAAGAAAACUAACAAAGGUAUGUGGAAUUAGGGUUUACGAUGACAACCAUAUGAAAGCAAACAAACAACACUUUAGAGGGUCCGCGAUAUAAAAACUUUAAGGUCAAAGGGUCCACCUAAUUAAUCAAUAUUUCUUGACUAUUACAACACCCACCCAGUUCCAUCAUUCAUUCAUUCAUUUGCCAAGAUACAUACCCUAUCUGAUCAAGAUUUUUUGUCAAUUCAGACUAGCGUUUCGUGAUGUUAUAAUUUUGCUCUAAUUAUGAAAUAUGUAUUUGAUUUUUUUAAAUAUAUUUAAGUUUAAAACAUAUCAACUUCAUCAUCUACUCAUCUUAUAACAUCUAAAGAAACAAAUUACGUGACAAGUACAACAAGAACCCUGCUUAGCAUUAUUGGAACUUCAAUUCUUGUGAUAUCACUGCCACGUGCCACAGAGGCCUAACAAAUAUCACAACACGUUUUAAAGUGAUAAAUGAAAUGAAAGGGAAUUAUUGAGAAAGGGUCAGAUCAUGGAUGGAUGUACACAUGAUGAUAGGAUAUAUACCAUAUACCACAGAAUUUGUGCAUGUUGCGUUACUUUCUGCAGCUCUCUUUGGGCUUGUUUUAUGCUGUUUUGCAGCUUUCUUUUGGUUGGAUGCAAUUUUUCUUCCACAAAAGGAGAAACAAUUAAAGGAGCUUCUGUUUUUGAUAUAACGCUAAAACGAUCGAUUUUGUGUAAUUAUCUCAAUUUGGGGGCUAAUCAUCAUUUAGCUUUCUACAUAUGUUGCAGUAACGAAAUCACCAAUUGAAUGAUUUGGGUACUCUGAUUAAGAUAAGCAUGCAUGUAAACAUCGUAUUGAGUAUCUUCACUUAAAGGUUCUAGAUAUGGAAAAAAAAGGUAUGUAAACUAAAUGACAUGUUAUUGAUGAUUGAAUUAUUAUUAUUAAGUGAUAAUUAACGUGCUUAUUUGUUAGCACAACUAAAUAUGUAAUUUUUUUGUUUAACAUAUACAAGAGAUAUUUUUUUUUUUCACAAAAUGAUAUUCGAAUUUAACUACUUAAAUCUAAAAUGAAAAGGAUUUGAACUUGGAUCUAAGGGUGCAGGUGUGAGGAUGAAAAGAUGUCUUACAUUGAAAUAUUACCGAACUUUUCAUGUGUUAUAAGAAGCUGGCCAUUACCAAUUGGUUUAAUGGUAAAACCUUAACUCGUUCGACGAGUAUAUUGCUCCUAAUAAACUAGUCUAAACAAUAAUGAUGUCCGAGGAACACAAAGCUGAUCACAAUAGGGUUUAGGGUAAGAUAUAUAUUAAGACACGGAGACAUUUACUAUUGCACCAGACAAAAGUAAAGGGAAAUUAAGAAAAACAAAGCAUAUAGAUGUAUAGUACACGUGCACUGUGGGUCAAUGUAUGACUGUCAGCAAUAUAUACAACGAUGAAUGGAUGUAGCUGGCGAGGUCGAUUAAUCGACUAAUAAUUCAUAUGGCAUUGCAUGUGUAGCAGAGAGAGAGAGAGAAAGGACUAUAGGAAGGGAGGGUUUGUAGCGAAGAGGAUGGGGGGAAUAGAAUUAUAGAUUAUCUCUCUCUCUCUCUCUCUCUCUCUCUCUCUCUCUCUCACACACACACACACACUGUCUCCUCUUUACUUUUAACCCGUCGUCUCCGGGGAAGAUAAAAAUACCAAAGAAUUUUAGAAACCAAUAAUUAAGAAAAUUUGCUAAAAACUUUGCUGCAUUUUUGCGUGCUGAGUUUAUAUAUUGACUAAAGCAGAGUGAGAGGGACAGGCUUUGUUGGAGUGUCAUUUUCCUAUAUAUACUCUCGAGGCAUUAGAAACUCAGACCCACAUCUUCUUUCUCCUUCCCAAUAUCCCUUCCCCAUUUUAUUUUAUUUUAUUUUCUACUACUAAUUAUUAUAUAUUUGGCAAAAUACCAAACCCCUCUUUCUCUCUCUCCUGAUGAGGAUGUCUGUUUCUUGAGCACGAGAAACUGUUUCUUGAGCAAGAGAAAAGUCUUCCUUUUUUUCAUUCAGCCUUUCUUUCUUUACAGCACACUCUCACUUUCUUUCUUUAUAUCUCCCUUUUCCAAUUUUCUUUUGAAAGGCUUUACUUUCUUAAUUUGUCCUCCAUACUCCUCCUAGGCUGCAAAACCAUCAGCACUACUUCCUACUAAAUUAUAUAUCUAUAUAUGAGUGUGUUUUUAGUUUUGGAGCAAGAAGAUGGAUGAAAUUAGACCCACUUCUCACAAUCACAUCUGGAUUAGCUAUGAGUGUGUGGUUUAGUUUCUGAAAUCUGUCAGGAGAAGAAGUGUGUUUUUUCAAUUUUGUUUUCAGAACCCAAAACUGCUGGGUUUGUAGCCGUAGAUUUAGAUACUGCUAGAAGCUGGGAAUAUAUAUAAAAGGGUUUAAAAUAUGCUUCACGAAGAAGGGCUUUCAUCAGAAGCAGCUGCAGGCGGCAGAAGCUGCUUAUCUUUGAAUCCGAUUCCUGAUCUUUCACUUCACAUAAGCCCUCCAGACACAAACACAAAUAGUGCUCCAUCCUCCAUUUGCACCGACCGAGCAACACCCGAUCACGACUCCGCCAGCUGCUUCAACAUAUGGCGAAGAGACACCGACGAGGAAGAUACCAACGGCGGCGCCCUAACCAACAAAUCCCACAGCGACAGCUGUAUUAGGGCCAGCUACACCAGUUCUUCCCCAGUAGCCGCUGAUGCCGACACUGAGCUCUCCCUCGCCAAUCCCUCGGCCUCAGAGGCCGAGAGCGCAUGGAAGAAGAACUAUUUCGGCGGCGGAGAAGUUUACCAUGACGAAGGGAAGAAUACUAGUAUUAGUGCAAGUAGUGGCAAUAAGAUUCCGUUGCUGGAGAGACUCAACCCCAUCAAAGGGAUUCCUGUUUACGGUACUAGUAGUACUAAUUGCUCGUUUCCUCCUACGUUUUCGCCUAAUCCUGUGUACCAAACGGCGCCGUAUCUGUCUAAUUCCUUCAGACCGGCAGCACCUGCUGGGAAUUGUAGUGGCAUGGGCAUGGGAAUUGGAAUAGGAUUGGGAGGGUUUAACGGGAUAACGAUGGACAGUUUAAGCCUAGGAGUAGGAGGAGUGCAGCCACAACAGCCGCAGCAUCAACGGCAACACUAUUUUCCGUCCUAUAAUUUGAAUCCUCAUUACCCUCAGCAGCAUCAUUGUGUAGGGGGAGGUGGGAAUUACAACGCCGACUUGUCGUCCAAUGGUUUCAUCAUGAGAUCUAGAUUUACGCCUCCAAAGCUCAUAGGGCAGAAUAUCAACAAGAGGAACAUGAGAGCUCCCAGGAUGCGAUGGACUACUUCUCUUCACGCCCGUUUUGUUCAUGCUGUCGAGCUCCUUGGUGGUCAUGAAAGUAAGCCCCUCCUACUCUCUCUCUUACUCUCAGGGGCGGACGCACGUUAGGGCAAGGGUGGGUAGCGGCCGGAAAAUCUCGCCACUGCUCACCCUACAUAGUUGCGUAAUAUUAUUAAUUUCUGUAUGUCUUUCCUUUUAAUUAGUUUGAAUUGAAUUAUAUGUACAUAAUUUUCCCUGGGAACUCUUGAAUAUAUAUGUAGUUAAUUAUAAAUUAUUUUGUAAUUUUGGGUAUAUAUAGGGGCUACUCCAAAGUCCGUGUUGGAGCUCAUGGAUGUGAAGGAUCUCACACUUGCUCAUGUUAAAAGCCAUUUGCAGGUACAUCUAGCUUCAUCUCAUCACUUCUUCGAUUACAUUGGAGAGUUUAGAAGCCGGGACCUAUGCUACUCUUAAUCAUCUCUACCCACCUCACCCUACGCUAAAUCAGUGACUUUUUUGUUAUGUUAUUUUCUAAAGAAAAAAGAAAAAAAAUUAGCAUUCUGAAAUGUUUGAUGCAUUGACCACAUUAAGAUUUCAGAUUCAAACCCUAUACUUUUCUCUAAAUUUCUCCCUUUUAAUUUUUUCUGUCGACUUUCACUGCGUUCGAUUUUUUCUAUGGGUUGUGUGUGUUUGUGGGAGGGGGAGAGACUGGACACUGGACACUUUGGCUAUCCAAGUGGCACGAUAGCAAGGGACACGCAGCAGCAUUAUCACUGGUACUGUGAUGAAUUAGUGAUCCAUCAAUAAAUGGAUGAAUGAACAGUGGAAGAGGAUUCUCUCUAAUCUGUCAUAUCCUACUUCAACGGUUACAUAUAAACCACGUCAAUAUUUUAUAUUAAUUUUUUAUAAAAAUAAUAAGAAAAAAAAAUAAACAUCUUAUAUUGAUUUUUUAUAAAAAUAAUAAGACAAAAAAUAAAAUGUUAUAGGAGGGAAGGGAAGGGAAUGGAAAUCGGGAAAAAAAAUCUCCUCCAUUUCCAUGAACAGUUGAGUCUGUUUCUGUUCUUGUGACUGAUACACACAGGACAAGUUCUACUUUCAGAGAGAAAGGGGAGAGAGAGAGAGAGGAUGAGAGAGAAAGAAAGAAAGUAGCCAAGCCAUCAUUUCUCAAUAAUACAAAGCAUUUACUGACCUUACCAAACAUCAACCUCGUGGUUAUUAAACAAACAAAACAAAAUCCCACAAAGUGAAUUAUGCAGCAUCUCCUUUGAUUUUGUUUUGUUUAUUUUAUUUUAUUUUGCUUUUUCGACGGAGUGAGAUUUUAUAUAUUAAUCAAUUAUUUCUCUCAUUCUCUUAUUAAAUAUCUUGUUUCUUUUUGGAUUUGCAGAUGUAUAGAACCGUUAAGAACACUGACAAACCUCUAGCUUCCUCUGGUAAUUCUUAUUUUGCUUCACUAGGACUUCCCUAAUUAAUAUCGUUAAUUAUUCCCAUGAAUAUAUCUGCUACUACGACGUACCCUUUUGAAUUGUGAAAUUCUUACAACCAUUCCUCUGCACUGGCUACCUCCAACCCCACAUAUAUGUACUAUCGUAUUCAUGCACAUAAUACAUACAGUCGUACAUCCACACAUUUUUCAUUUGCAUCCCAACAAACAACUAGCUAGUACGUUUGACAACAAUAUAUAUAUAUAUAUAUAUAUAUAGGGGUGUGUGCACACAUCCCAUUUUACUUCUCAUACAUCUUUUUAAUUUUCGACCGUCGGAUCGGAUGAAUUGAAGAAGAUCAACAGACAUAAAUUAUCAAGGAGUGUGUGAGAAGUAAAAUGAGAUGUGUGGAUAGCACACUCCUAUAUAUAUAUGCACAUGUAUAGAAUUCAGAUUAAGCAUGAACGAAACAAAAAUUUACCUUUUUUAAUUUACUCUUUUUUAGACUGUUGGCAUGUUAUAACUUAUAAUGUACAUGACCAAAACAAAGAUUACACUUAGAUUUUAUUAUCUAUACAAUGUAGAAAGAGACAACAUUAACAAGUUACGUUUGUUUUAGUGUCAUGAACAUCGAUAUGAACAUUUGGUUGGCUUGAUAUGCAACAGAUGGAUCUGGGGAUGACGAUCUUUUGUCUACAACAAGCCAUCAUCAUAAUUCAAAUUCCAAUGGUUUACUUAACCAAAGAGGAGCCUCAAAUGCAACUUUAAACUUAGAGCACGAUCAUAUGGAACACCACCCUUCUAACAAUCUAUGGGGCAACUCCUCCAGGUAAUUAAUAUUUAACUUUCUCUUUGUGGACUGACUAACUAAUGAACCUUCAUUAGUAUAUAAAUUUGUUUUAUUAUUGGUUAAUGGUGGUACUUUCGAGUGAUUGCUUUGCCUUUCUUUUCCUAUGCAUGGUUAUGGUUAGCUUUUGCUUGGGAAAUCAGAAUCCACGCCCUUCCUUUUCUGAAACUAAAAAGUACUUCUUUUUCCAGCUUUUGCUUUCCAUUUGUUUCCUUUUUAUGUUUUCUUUCUAAUAAUCUAUGCGGUGGCCUCGUUCUUGCAUCACCAAUCUAACUUGCAUUGCAAAUGGUAACCAAAAAUAAAAUCUCGAACUUGAGGGCGUGAAAAAUUAUGGGUUCUUUAGAUAUAGGCCCUUGAAACUCCUAUUUUUCAAAUAAAAACCCACUUAAAUUUAAACAUACAAAUAAAACCCAAAUUUCAAAUAGACUGCCAUGUAGACAAAUAUAUGACCAACUUUUACAAUACAUUUACAACUUAUGCCACAAAAUCCUAAUUUGGUCAAUAAAUGUUAUUACUCAUCCUAAUUAUGAUGAGCAAUUAAAUCCAUAUGGAUAUUUUACCUUUCUUGUAUCAUAAAUAUUAGCAACAUAUAUAAAUUAAUUUACCAAAUUAAAAAAAAAAGACAUAACUUGUAAAGAAAAAAUAAUAUUGUUUGAAUCAUGUAAUUACCUACAUACAAAUUAAUUUACCCACUUAUAAAUAUUCUACUAAUUUACCUGCAUUUUAAAUCAUGUAAUUACCUACAUACAAAUAUUAUACUAAUUUACCUACUUAUAAAAUAUUAUAUUAAUUUACCUACAUUUAAAUUAAUCUACCUACUUAUUAAUGUUAUAGUAAUUUAUCUAUUCCCCCAACAAAAAAAAUUAGUGAUAUUAGAUAAUGUUCGAAUGUUGUGGGUUUGUGCUUGUAGACAAUUAAAUAAACUUUUAAUGUAAUGCACAUAAUAAUGUAGGUAAAUUAGACCAUUUUGAAAGUAAAUUAGACCCUUUAAAUUUUGGUUUGAUGGAAUAGGAAAAUUAGACUAUUUUGUAGGUAAAAAUUGCACAGAACAUAUCACUUUUGUUUUGUGUAUUAGGGAUUGGAGUAUUCGCAGAAGCUGUUUUAGGUUUAUUGUUGUGUUGGUAGGUAAAUUAACUUAUAUAUUUAAUGCACAAAAUUAUGAAAUUAGUAUUAUUAUUUUUCAAUAGGCACGUUAUAACAAUUUGAAAGUUAAUACAUCGAAUAUACAAUGAAUGACAUGAAUUAUUUUGUAAAAUAUAUAAAUUGAUCAAAUGGAUAUAACAAGUAACUGAUCCAAAAACUCUAUCCAAGUAUUAAUAGGGGUAGUUUAGGCAUUCUGAAAAUACACAAUUUGAAAAGUCAAACUUAGUCAAUGAGAUUUAUUCAAGAAAACAAAAGGUGAUGGGUUUUAGUAGAGGAGAAUAUAGUUUCAAGGGGUAAUAUCAAAUUUUCAGAAAAAUUAUUUUUAUAUAUAUAUAUAUAUAUAUAUAUAUAUAUGUAUGUAUGUAUGUAUGUCUGAAAGAAUAAGAUCAGAGAAUGCAAUAAAUAUCUAGUAGUACAUUUCAACUUUUUGUAUUUUCUUUUCCAUUUGUAAUUUAGAAAAAAAAAAUAAAAAACAUAAAAAUUAAGCCCGUUGUGCUUGAGGAGAUUGCUUUUCUUUCUUGAUGAUGAAAUUAGCUACUUAGUCUUCUCGGACCUUCAUGCCAUUAAUCAUGACAUAAAUCCUCCUUCUGCAUGUUCCUUACUGACUAGCUACUUAGUUAUUCUUCUUCUUUUUUUCAAUGUUGCAGGUAUGAUCUUCAUUUGUGAUUUGCAUCGAGUUUGAGUACGUAUCUUAGAAGCUGAAUAGGGUUUUGGAACCAGCAGAAGAUGUAGAAAAUUGCUGGUACUUAUAUUUUAGGAUAAUAUAUGCAAGCGCAUGGUUGCAGUAGAGGAGGAUGGCUGCAAGCCAGUUAAAGGUUUCUAAAAUGUUCUUAGACCAGAAAUGCUCUCUCAACAUAGAAUUACUACUGGAAAACAAUUUGAGGUAGUGACCUGCAAUUAUCUAGGGUUUAUUAAUUACCAAGUCUUGCAUGAAACGUAUCUUUUUAAUUAUAUGGAUACAGAGAAUCCUUCUUUUGAUUGAAUGGUCUAUUGAUUUUAGUGAUCUAGCAAUCAUGUAUGGGUCUCUACUUACAUUAUACGUAUCGAAACACUGGAAAUUAAUUUGAGUUGAUCAUCAAAUUAAUUAUGCACUGCAAGCUUAUAGUUACACACAUAAGUCCACAAGCUCCAUUACACUUGGGGGUUAUUUUCGAACGGAUCAUAUCGGAAACAAGGUUUCCAAUUUUUAUUCCAAAAUUUUGGAAUCAAAGCUGAUCACAAUUUUUUGUAAUUUUUGGAGGCAAAGUAAUCUCGAAAAUUUCAUAAUAUAAUCCAAUACAUGAAAUUUAUUGUUCUCUCUUAAUAUUUGAUAUUUACUUAUGCAUAUAUCAAAUUCAUUUUGAAUACAAAAAAAAAAUGAACAAAAUGUAUCCAGAAAGACCGAAAUUAACGAUAAAAUACAAAAGAUGAUUACAAAGUAUAUAAGUUUUAAUAAAUAACUAUAAAAAAUUAGAUAUUUUUUGAUCGGAUAUGUUCGAAACACUUCAAAAAAAAUUCAAAAUUCUUGGAAUCUAUAAAUGCAUUCCCCUUUCCAUUCCAGUUUUUCAAAAAUAUUAGAAUUUGAAAAUUUUUGGGUUUGAAAACUCCAUUCUGACUUUCACCCCUAGCUUAUACUUUUAGCUUUCUAUCCGACUCUCUUCCACCCUAUAGUUCAUCAAACUACAGAAAAAUCUAGAGCAAACUGCUGAAAUUCCCCUAAUUUUCUAGAACUAAAAUUUAUGGGGGAAAUAUGAAAUACAAGUUUGAUAGGGAUUUCGACAGUGGGCGUGAAAUAACAAAAACACCUUUUUUAUGUUACCAUGAACCCUCUUUACUAUUUAAUUAUCACAUUUCUUGUCAAAAGUUUUAGGCAAGUUUAUCAACUUUAAUUUGCAGGGAAUAAUAAGCUAAUGUUUUCAGUCCCAGAGUUAUAUAGAAUCAAAUGAUGAAACCUCAAGAAUCUAAGCUUAUGGAGUUCAGCUUCACGUAAAAGAACAUAACUCUAACUUAUGAAGUUAAAAUUGCCUGGCUAGUACUGCUGAAUUAUGCUCUUAAAAAAAGAAAAAAGCAAAAAACACAUCUCGACACAAAUACGAAAUAUGUAUAUACGUUGCCAUGCACGUCUUCAAGCUUGAUGUCUUUUUCUUGGAAGGCUCUGUUUUUUAUAAUUCGUUAUAUAUGCUGGUGUAUGUAUAACAUGUUCUUUUAAACUUUGUGAUGUUGUUCAGCGUGUUUUUUAAUUAAGACUGAGCUUUAAUUUUUGAUAUUCAUGUCUAGAUUUUGGAUAGCUUUUACCAUCUCUUAUGCGAUGUUUAAUAAAACAUAUUAUUCAAUAAAAAAUUAGGUUAAAGUUGCUAUAUAAUUAGUGAUGUUGAUGUAUGAUGUUUUGCUAUUGCGUAGAAGUCAUGAAUUGAAUCAAAAGUUAAAAGCAGAAAGAAAAGAGAUGGAAUCAGUUUUAGUGGUGCAUUAUCUGCUGGAUUAAUAUUCCCUCUUUUGCUCUCUCUCUUUCGGAACAAGUUACAUUUUCCAAAGAACCUUUUUCCGUUGUCUCUUUAAAUGGGAUCACUUUUAAGUGAUUAAGUUGUGAAAUCUUGACUUUGAAAUAUCUCGCCCUCUGUCUUUAUUUAGUAUGUUCAUUUGUUAGAUUUGAAGCUUGAUUUGCAUCUCAGAAAAGCUAAUUAAAAGCACUUUUUGUGUUAAUUUUAUAUUAUUUUAAGAGGUGGGGGAAUAUUGAUUGAAUAAUUUAACAAGCAAGCCGGCAUGCAUGUAUAUCUACUUAUCCAGCAUCAUUCCUUCAUGCAGAAAAGUUGUGUUUGCCCGGCCCUUAACCAAAUCUUAGAUUUCAGGUAUAAUCGACUAUUAAUCUGCUUUUAGGGGCUGUUGAUUCUACUUCGCUUGGUACCGUACGUGACAAAAAUGAUGUUACCGUUGUGGAUUGCACCAUGACCCAUUUUCUAAUCCUAAUUAAAAUAUGAUUAGUUUAUAUACUAUCACGUCUAUUCACAUAUCUUACAUUUAUACUAUAACAAAAACAUUCAUGUUGUAACAACCAACGUCAUUAAUGAAGCAACAAUAUUAUUAUGUAACCUUUAUUUAACGUUGGAUAGUACUUUGAGGAUUAUAAUUUAACCUCACGUUUUUUGUAAUUAAGAUGUUAAAUUUUGUUGAAACUGAACGUCACGUGAAGAUUAUGGCCACAAUAGUGGAUUAUGAUUUUGUGUCAUCCAAUGAUGUCCACUCAUAUCUUACAUCUAUAUAUACUUAACAAGACGUUUGCAUUGUAACAACUAGGUAUGGUUUGUGUUUGUCGUGUUCGUAUUGUUUUCGUGUUAUAUAAGUUAUUAUUAACGUAUUAUGUCGUGUCAAACUUGUUAUUUUAUCAUGGUUUUGGGUUGGGUGUAGUUUGAAUGAAUGCAUUUGUCAUCAGCCCAAUUUUCCCUAAAAAUACAUAUUCGGCCCAGUGAAUAGUAAGGCCCAAACCAACUCUACUAGUUCCAAUCUGCAAACCAGGAGCUGACGCUUUACACGUGUCAACACUUCACAGACUCAACUCAACCAGGAUCCUUCCUCUAAGCUGUCGCCAUGCAGCACGGGAGAACGUAAACAAUUUGAUGGCACCACUCCACGUGUUCCUGCGACCACUUCAAACCAAAACACUACACUUCCCAUCUUCCAUAUCGGAAAGAGAUCCUCUGCGGACCUCUUCUUCAAAAGAUCGUGAAUUAAGUGAUUCAAAAUUUUAAAAUUUAAUUUAACGGUAAAAAAUUAUUAUAAUUUUUAGAGGUUCAGAUUUUAAGGAUCGUUGGAUCAAAUUUUAAAAAUUUUGAUCACUUGAUCAGCGAUCUUUGGAAGAAGAGAUUCGGACAGAAUCUCAUUCCUUCCAUAUCGGCGCAGAUCCAACACAAUUUCAUUCAUUUAGGUAUAAUUUUUUUAAGUAAAUUGUGGCAAUGGUUCUUCAACUUUAAUCAAAUUGGAGCAAUGGUCCCUUAACUAAAAAUCUAUUACCAUUGGUCUCUCAAUUUAUCAAAAUGUGUAGCUAUAGUCAUUUUCAUCAAUUUCGUCAAAAUUUUGUCAAAAUAAGUUAUGUUGGAAUAACCAUUUAUAUAAUUAGGAUCCCUCAACUCAUCAUAGUGUGUAAUUAUGAUCUUUUUUGUCAACUACAUCAAAAAGUUUGUCAAAACGAGUUAUGUUGGAAUGACCAUUGCUACAAUUGGGUUAAAGUUAAGGGAUCAUUUGCCCAGUUGAAUUAAAGUUGGGGAUCAAUGGUAAUAAAUUUUUAAUUGAGGGACAAUAGCCGCACGUUUUGAUGAGUUGAGAGACCAAUGAUAAUGAAUUUUUAGUUGAUAGAUUAUUGUUCCAAUUAAGUUAAAAUAAAAAUAUUAUAGCUACAAUUUACUCCAUUUUUUAAAAGGAUAAUAUUACCGCGCAAGGACACGCGUCGGAGCGAGAAAACCCCGGGAAACGGAUUGGAUUAGAGCGCCAACCAGGGAGAGCCGGUGGUAGCUUCUCCCCUCAGAAAAAAAAAUCCCAAAAACGGAAAAUUGAAUAUGGACCGUCUCUCGAAAUUUCAGUUUCCAAUCCCGAAAACACUCGAAAACUCAAAAAUUAAAUUAAUUAAAAUUCUAAUUUAGGCCGCCCGCCUUCUCCUGCGCUGUGGCAAGUGGCCGGCUUUGAAUCCACCACCUAUAUUUUUGCUGUCCAUUUUUUUUUUUAAAUUUUUGGAGAAUUAGCGAUUUUUGUGAGAUUAGAGAAAAGCAGCGCGCGAGGUCUAAAAUUAGCAAAAAAAGCACUUUUUCGUUUUUCCCACCGAGAAUUGAGUAAAAAACGCACAAUUUUUUUAAUGAUCUGUUUGGGAAAGGCAGGGAUUAUAGAUAGUAGAAUUCUGUUUUUUCACGGGGAGAAGAAGGAGCCAAACAACAACCUCAACAGGAAACAACCAAUCCGGCCGUUGAUUGGAGUGGAGGAGCUCCAAUUCCAUUUCAACUCGUCAUCUCCACCGCCGCCGGCGUCAUCAGCAUUGUUCUUUCAACCCACAAGACCACCGCCGAAGAAGCAGCAGAAAAUGGCGACGGAGAGAGGCAGCGAUUUGUCGUCGUCGUCGUCGUUGAUGUUGACUUCUGGAGCGAGCGGCCGCAUAAACGCCCUCCUCUCGCUGCGGGCGCUGCGGAGUCUGAUGAUGCUGAUUAACGCCUUCUUCCUGCUCCUUCUGCUCCCAUUUCGCGGCCGCAAGCGAGCGCCGUCGUCGUCCGCCUCGUCGUCUGCGGCGGCGGCUUCGCCGGUCUUGGCGGAGAAGUCGGCCAAGGACGAGAGGCAGCCUAGGGGGCCCGUGGUCCGGGUGCCAACAACGAUUGUUCCGUGGAAGAGCAGCUCGUCGUUGCCGGUGGACCCGGAGGUGGCGGCGAGGAGAGCGUUAGCGAAGCUAAGAGUUGUACAAGAUGAUGAUGAGAAUUCGGUCCGGCGAUAUUCGCUCUUUGCGACUGCGAGAGGUGAAACUCUCUUCACGCAAAGUUGGACUCCCGUUUCCGUUAACAUCAGGUAAAUCAAAUGACUCUGUAUUGUAUUAUCCCCUUGGAUUGGACUGGAUUGGAUUGGAUUGGUUGGAUUGGAUUGUUUAAUUUGAAUUAAUGCAAAAAGGUGUGAAUUUUUCAUUACUUCUUGAAGAAAAUGAUGAGAUUUCCGGCGGCAAUCUAAAUGCAGAAGAAAUAUGCUAUGGGAUUGAAAGUUUUAAUCUUUUUUCUUUCUUUUCAAUCUUAAUUAAGGUUGGCUACGCAUCGUUUUUCAAGGAGUAAUCUUUUAUCGUUGGGUUUUGGUGCUCGAAGAGUGGCAAUUGUUAAUGUAGUUCAAUGAAUGAACAGUUUGGACAUAUGUGUUUAUCUUCUUGAUUACAUCGUCGUCGUUUUGAAUUAGUUAGGUUCAUGUUAAAUAAUUUCAUUACUUUGUCAGUUUGUGUUCACUAAGUAUGCUAAUAGUCAAGCAUAUUCUAACAUAUGCUUGUACCAUCACUAUCAACCUUCCAUUAGAAACUGUGUAGUACGCAUACCAUACCGAUAAGGACCGUUGCUCAAGGAUUGCAAUACCUGAGUAAAAUGGGCAAUCUUUUUGUGGUUGUUUGUUAGCCAAAUAUCGCUUUCAUGAGGAUCCUUCGCUUUCUUGAGGUCCCAUCUCUAAUCUCUUGUCCUUAGACCCACACGAUAAUUUCAAUGGUUGUGCAGUGCACCUGGAUUUACGGAAAAUGCACAUCUUGUUCAUUUUCCACUCCUCUGCUUACUGGCAUAAUAAGUUAGAUCAUAUUGCUGAGACCAUUUAGGGCAUUGCCUAUUUUUCAGAAAUCUAUUAAGAGUAGCUACAGAUGGUGUAACCAGUUUUAAAAUUGAUAGUGUGUGGGAAAGUCAGGCAAAUUUUCUUGUGGUUGGUUCCACAGUGACUUUGCACAAAUUUCUGAUGAAUCAUUUCAGCUAAGGUUCACCACUUAGAAACUCUUGUAUGUGGGCUAUUCUAUUAAAAUGUUGAAUGAUAAUGCCAAGAAACAUCCGGGCAAUUAAGCUGUUCUUGACGACAGAUCCUCUAAAGCAUUGCCUGGGUUUUAUCAGAAGUUUCUGUUAACUUACAUAGUCCAUACCCUGAACCCUAUUCUUGUUACAUGACAUACUAAUUGGUAAGAGAACAUUUCCGUUGCUACGAAUAUGUAAGUUGGAAUAAUUGCUAAAGGAGAGUAACCUUCUCCUACCAUAUAUCUGACAAGUUAUGUUAUCAGACUGUUAAUAUAUUUGGAUUUUAUAUUCAAACACGUAUCUACUUUAUCCACAGUUUUGUUUGCAAAGUCAUGGAGUCCAAGUUUUAAGUUUCUAAUAUUUACAUUUUGCAGGGGCGUAGUCAUUCUUAUGCAUGGUCUGAACGAACACAGGUUUGUCAUUUCUACAUAAUUCUCACUUAAGUGCUAUUUCAGCUGAUUAUAAGGUUAAAGGCCUUGAUAUAUCUAUUAAGACAUUUGUACAAUUUCACCAGUGGAAGAUACGAUUACUUUGCAAAGCAACUGAAUGCUAAUGGAUUUAAGGUUUACGGAAUGGAUUGGAUUGGUAAGUCAACACCAUUUUGACCCUUUACCAUUGCAUUUAGACUUCUAACUAGUCUAAAUGGUUUCUGUUCUAGUUCUAAAACAUGAUACCUAAAGUCUAAGCCAAUUAAUGACAAUUGCCUGUGUAUGUCAUUAUCAAUGUGUAGUUGUGUACUGACCUAAUUUUAAUGUUUUCGUGCACUCACUAGUUUCCUAUCAACAUUUCUUUUUGUUUUGUAAUUGUGUAUAUUGUUUAUGCCACAAGCUUGUCUCGUCUUGUGUCAUAAUGACUAAAUUUCUAGGCAAGCAUUUUGGAUGCUAUGGAACAGAUUGAAAUAUGAGAUUGAUCUAUAUAACGCAACAUUUAAGAAAUUGGCUGAAAUAUUACUUUUAUAUUUGCUGUGGAAGGGGAAGAGCCUUAACUUUUUAGAUAAGGGGGAAGAUGUCUCUCAAAAGUUUAAAAUCUCACCCUUGUAUUAGAGGCAGUCAUCUUUUUUUAAUUAAUUACAGUUUUCAAAGCCUAGAGAUCACUCUCUUCAACAAGGCAUAUAUAUUUGGAUGUUGCAGGAAUUGAGUAAUUUGGACUCCCAUUGGUGCGAAAAAGUAAACCUUUGAAGCUCCCUUUAUAAGUAAGCUUUGUAUGUUUGGGUCUAACCUUGUAUGUUUCUCAUAAGUUACGCCUCUGAUGCUUCUAUCGAGUGAAAAAUAUUUAGAAUGGUUUAAGCGGAAGUUGAACUUAGUUUCAUCCAACACAAGCAUCUGGUCUAAAGUGUGCCACCGUGUAUGGUGGGGUGUCCUUCCAGUUGUAUUUAUCAGAAUUGGAUUAAGAUUAAAACUUUCUUGCGUUUCACUCGAAAUUCACUUGGAAACCUUUGCAAUUUCUAGGCUUCUAAUUGGGACUGAAUGUCAUUAGUUCUAUUUUCUCUGUACUUUGUUUUUUGUUUAAGAUGCUUUUGGAUUGUUUUCUGGUGUGUAAUGGCUAUAUGUUGUCGGGGGUUCAAGUCUUAUUAUGAUUUGAAGGAAGAGUCUCUGCUUUUUUUUGUUUAACACAGCCAUAAAAAAAAAUAGUAUCUCGAGUUUUCUUUGUGUUGAAGGAUAAGUCAUAAAUUGUGGACCUUGGGUUACUCCAUCCCUGUUACAUCGCACUAAAUCUCUAAAUCUUCUGAUUUAGUAGUUAAUUGUUUAUAUAUCUCAUAUAAUUGUUCUCAUUGAUUUAUCUAUCUAGGUCAUGGUGGGAGUGAUGGGCUUCAUGCAUAUGUUCCUUCUCUCGAUUAUGCUGUUACUGAUAUGGUAAGUUUCAAGGCUCUUUAACAAUUGAAUCCAGUUCUUAAUGCACCUGAAAAACCUAGGAACUCUGCUUUGAUUAAACGUUUACAUGUGUUCUUCGCUCUUUUAUUUUUGUGCAGAAAUUAUUUCUCGAAAAGGUUUUAGCUGAAAAUCCAGGCCUACCGUGUUUCUGUUUUGGGCAUUCCACAGGUGCAGCCAUUGUCCUUAAGGUAUGGGUUGCUGGUAGUCUGUUUUUUCUUGGAAUUGCAUGAAUGACUUUUUUGUAGUCACAGUUUUGUUGUCUUCUAUCUAUUCAUUAGCUUCAUUGGCCUGGAAUUUAAUCUAAGCCUACUCCAUCGCAAAAAUGAUUUUAGGUAAUGCUUGACCCAAAAUUUGAGUCCCGCAUAGACGGUGUAGUGCUCACAUCACCAGCAGUUGGGGUUCAGCCUACGCAUCCAAUAUUUGUGGUCAGAAAACCAGCUUUUGUUACAACUAAUUUUUAUGCACUCUUGAAUAUAUUAUAUACUCAAUUACAAGUUUUCAAAUGCACCCUAAACCCUAACCCUCUACGCGCUUUCCUCCGUUUAUCAUGCCAGGUAAUUGCUCCAUUGCUCUCAUUUUUGCUGCCAAGAUACCAAAUCAGUGCAGCAAAUAAGAAGGGCAUGCCUGUUUCUCGUGACCCAGCGGCUCUAGUUGCCAAGUAUUCGGACCCUCUAGUGUACACUGGAUCCAUCCGCGUAAGGACUGGUUAUGAGAUUCUCCGAAUCACAUCCUACUUGCAGCAGAACCUAACCAAAUUGAGGGUCCCCUUCUUUGUUCUCCACGGCACAGCUGAUACGGUUACUGACCCCGAGGCCUCCCAGAAACUGUACGAUGAAGCCUCCUCAACUGACAAAACCAUCAAACUGUUUGACGGGUUGUUACAUGACCUUCUCUUUGAGCCAGAGCGAGAAGCCAUUACGAAGGGCAUCAUUGAGUGGUUGAAUCGUAGAAUAUGAAGCAGCUAGGCAGUGCCACAGUGGGAGAUAAAGAUUGAUAACUCAUGUGACAAAAAGAAAAUGGAUCGAUCGAUACGAGUGACCAUUUUUUUGUGGAAGCAGGAGAUAGAAAUACCGAAAUUGAUGUGGCUGGAUAAAAAAUCAGCAUAUUAUGUUGAAACUUGAAGCAUCGUGACAUUGUUUUCUUGUUCGGUAUUGGAAAGAUCAUCUGCAGUUGUAAAAUGCUUCAUCUCCUAAUCCAUAUGUUGCUUGAAAACUUGCCUGCUGAAGAAUUUAAGCAGGUGGGGUUUUCCACAUUUCAAACAGAAUUCCUGGCUCACCCGAUAGCAAACUCCCCUCAUUUAUCAUAAGUAUAUAUUUUCUGUUGUUUUCUUUACCUAGUGUUAACAGGUGAAGCAAAACUCGUGUAUUUUUUAACUUCCGAUUUCGACAGAGGUUUACGAACAAGGAAGAAAGUUGACGUUCCACCAUAAAACCAAGAGCAAUAUAAAAAGUAGCUAAUUACUUAUAAACACAUUCAAGGUCCCUCAUUUCUAGGAAAAUACAAAUCGAGUGAUGUGGAACACGUAUAGCCGUUGAGUUUCACAUGAAGGGUAACCUGCUUUGAUACCAUAAAGAAAAUUGAGGUUCUACUAUGAAAUCAAUUGGCAAUACAGAGAUUAGCUCAAUUACUUAUAAACAUAUGCAACUUCUCUUAUUUCCCCAAUGUGGGAUCGAUACUCCCAACAAUAUUAUCAAUUAUUUGUCAAGGUGGUGAAUAAUGAUUUAUGUCCCUGCAAUCAAAUACAUUUUUAUAAUUUUUUUUGGGGUUUUGUGGACGUUAAUUCGCUUUAGCGUAUGAUUACUUAAAAAAGAAUAAUUAACCACGCUUUUACAUGGAGGAAACACGGACAAUUAUAUGAUAAUUAAUCGAGUGAAAGAAAUGAAGGAAUUAAUAUUAUUCUGAUGUUUCAUUAAUUAACAUAAUCUGAUGUUGCGAACGCUGCAGUGAGCUGAGCAAUACAAGUAGGCGACCGUGGAAAUAUUCGUUUUAGGAAAGCACAAGUGCCAAAAGAGUGGUCAAGUGGCUUGACUUUCUACACGAUCUAGUGGAAACUGUUGCUUUCUAAUUUCUGUUUUAUUCCCGUUAUGAACUGCUCAUUUCUACACUUUCACAGCCACCUUCUUGGAUUAUAUUAACCUAUCUGUCUAUGAUAACCGAAAGACCAAUACUAUAUAUAAUAUCCCAUCCACUGUACAUGGAAUAGGAUUGAUAGCGCCCUCGUAUUGAUUGUUUCGUCACUACAUAUGAAUCAUUUAGUACUUUUAACGUAGGACAAUAUAAAUAAUAUUUUGAAAUGUCAAUCAUAUUCAAUACUAAACAAUAUGUGGUCACGAAACGGUUAAUAAGAUGACACUAUUAUGACUCGCUGAAUGAAUAGUAAAACGUGAAACAAAUACAUGUUAAUGUUACAUAUGGAGCUUCUCCUAUAUAUGAAUAUUGGGAUGUGUUAUCUACAUAUCCCAUUUUACUUCUCAUACAUCUCUUGAUAAUUUCUGUCCGUUGAUCUUUUUCAAUUCAUCCGAUCCGACGGCCGAAAAUUAAAAAGGUGUGUAAGAAGUAAAAUGAAGUGUGUAUAUCACACCCCAUGAAUAUUUAUGUAGUUGGCUUUUUAGACGGGAUUCCGUUUCAUGGGAUACACGAUUUGUGGUCAUGAAAUGAUAUGUGGUCAUGAAAUGGUCAGUAUAAAUGGAACUAUUCAGUCUAUCCUAAACCCCUACAUGGAUGGUUGAACGUGAUGCUUGCUAUAUGAAGCUCCUCCACUGUACGAAUAUAGCGGCUUCUUAGAGAUGGUUCCACUCCACAUAGUGAAAUACACGAUAUACAUAUAUAUAUAUACAUAUAUAUCGUCAAUACGUCAUUUAUAUAUUAAUAUUUCACGUUGAUUCGCUUUGAUAUGAGAUUCAUAUAUAGGUGUAGAUAUAAUAUAUAUUCUCACGAUAUAUGAUUCUCAAUAUAUUGUCAAUAACUCUUUGCAUGAACAAUGAAUAUUAAAAGGAACCACUUAAUAAGCUUCAUGUAUAUUAUAUUUACUUUCUUUUUCAAAUUAUAUGCUCUCUAGUGCGCGCUCCUUUGAAAAUUAUAAUGAAAAAGUGUUUGAGGUACAAUUUGUCCAUGAACUUUAUUAGAAAAAGAUAAUAUUGAAAUCUGCCGUUAAAUUGUUAUAUAUUAUGCAGAAAACACCCAUGGUUAAUUCAUAUGCUUUAUUUGUUCUCAUUCUUUUUCAAUGAACCUGUCAUCCUCAAUCCUCAUCCCAUCAAGAUUUUGUUGCCUUGCUCAAUUGGGACAACAGACAAAAUGCCAACUGACAUUGAGGUUGAAAGCCAUUGCAAAGGAACAGUGUUAUAUAUACAUAUAUGCGUGUAUUUCAACUAAUCUGUAUAUGUUUAUGAAUAAUUAAUCAAUUCCUGGUUCAUAUAAUCUAUCACUAAUCGACCUUUCCGGCAUUUAAAUACAUAUUAAGUUUGUCACCAUGAUAAAAACCAACCAUUCCUUUGUGAUAGACGCAAUAUAGAAACAAGAAGAAAUAGUAUUGGGGUUGGACGGUCGCGUGUAGACUAUAUAUUCAGCUCCAAAAGGUAAGCAAUUGGGCACACUAGCACUCGCACUAGGAGGAGGAAGGGUAUUAACUUUAUACAUAUAUAUAUAUAUAUAUAUAUAUAUAUAUUAUAAAUGUAUAUUGCUGUCUACUUAACCUAAUACUAUACUAACUAGCUUGACCAAUGACUAAUUGAUAUUUUUUUGUUAUUUGAUUUGAUUAACUAAAAAAACUAAUUAAUUAACUAGCUAGUCUGAUUGCGUAGUACUUAUCUUAGCUCUUUUGCCGUCCAUCCAAUCGUUCCUUUUUAUUAACUAAACAAAUGAAAAUUCAUCUGGAUUUCAAAUGAGUAUUUUUUUUUAACAAACAAUAAUACCUACAUUAAGGGGAGUGGGGGAGUGCUAAGCUUCACACUUGACUAGUCAUACUAAUGUGGUUCAAAUUCUUUUUUUGCGAGAAUCGAACCUAAGACCUUUCACUUACAAGUGAAGAGAAAUACCACUAAAUCGUAGUACUAAAUGACGAUUUCAAAUGAGUAUUAAAAUCCUACAAUAUUUUUCAUAAAAAAAACUUUAAUUCAUGAACAACAAGAAAUUAUAAAAGAAAAAAAAUGACAUUAAAAGUAUACGGGUCACAUUUAGUAGAGUCUAGGGACAGUGUUCAAUUUUAUAUGAUACAUUUAUUUAAACUUCAUCUUAUUUAAGAAUUAAAGUCUUUUUUUUUAAAUAACUUCAUUUAAAGAUUAUAUAUACAUAAAAAUCAAUCCACAUAUAAAUAAUUUAGUCAUUUAUAUAUCAAAUUAAUGGACAAUAUUGUCAUCUUUAUUGUGAACCACUCAUUAUAUGAUACAACGACUAAACAAUCUCCAAUUUCUUUUUCCCGUAGAAAUGUUGUUCAACUGGAAUCGCAUAUCCCACUAAUUGAUUUUUUUUUUUUUUGUCGAAACUAACUAAUUGAUUUCACUGCUUCUUUAUAUUAUUAAUUACUACCAUGCACGUACCUAUAUAUUACUUGUACACGUCACAAGAAAUUACUGCGAUUCCAUCCAUUUUCCGAAUUUAACCACCAUGAAUUAAACUAGACCAUGCAUCGACUGUUCAUUCUCAUAAUAUUCUAUAAGCUAGCUAGGCCUCCUAUGCACACACAAAACACAUAAAAACAAAGAUAAAAAACAAAUUAGAAAACGGUACCAUGUGCAACUAAAUAAAUAUGAGACAGAGAGCGAGAUAUUUUUCUCUUUAGCAAAUUAUCCAAUUUUUAAUUAAUCCCGCACCUCCCACUAAUCAUGAAUGAAUCCCAUUAAAAUAUGGUCUCUUACUUGCAUCAUCUCCUUCGCCACCCAGCCUUAAUUAUGCUUAUCUCCUUCCAAAUAUUGGGCAAAUGGAAUUUUUUUACACUUUUUAUUCGCAGGAGGGGUUGCGGGUUGCGGGUUGCAUUCCCUUUCCACUACCCAAAAUAUCAGUCCUAUAAUAUCUUUCAUUCUAACUCCAUGCAAGGCAAACAAGCAAGACAACUACUCUCCCGGGAGGAGGAUCUGAACUUGGUACAAGGUGCGGUCACACUAUUCUAUAUGGCCAACUUGCCUAACUCACGUCUACUCUUUGAUCAAAUUAAUGAUUUGUCUGGCUCGCUAACUGUUAUUUACGUUGUUUGAAGGUCAAAUCUAGACUACUACUACUCUCUCUCUGGGAGGGUUAUUCAAACUUGGUGGGGGACGGUCACACUACCCUAGACUAUAAUCCAGAUUAAUGGCAGAUAAGAUUCCGAGAUAUGGCAUCAACAAUUUCAUGGAGGAUAUAAAUACAGAAGACUCCAUGGAGAUGGAGGCUACUACGGAAAGACCAAAUAAUAACCAAGCAAAUAUGAUCUCCAACUCCAACAUAAUUUCCACUGCUCAAAAUACAUACCAGUAAGCUGGUCUACUUAGGUUUAAGAAUGAAUAUAUCAAUACCUCACCUAACUAGCUAUUAGUUCAUAUAUUGAAUAUUAAUUUGUAGUUAAACAUGAUGAUGGCGUAGUUUUCUACUUUUGCAUGGAUCUGAUCAGGAUCUUCGCGGGUUCCUGGAAUGUUGGAGGUGUUUCACCUCCAGAGUACUAUUUGGACAUACAAGGUUGGCUCCGACCUAAUAAUAUUAACCCUCCAGCUAAUAUCUACGUCCUUGGGUAAUUAAUCUUAUUUAUUUCCCCAUCUAUACGGUAAUUAUAUAAUCAUACGUGCAAGUCUCCAUGCACUCACUGCAGAUUGAUUCAUACAAUACGAUCACUAGUUCUGAAUUAAUGAAUUGACGAAUUUCAGGUUCCAAGAAAUUGUACCACUGAAUGUGGGAAAUGUUGUGCGAUCCGAAAACCGCAAAGUUUGUGAGAAAUGGAAUUCGUUGAUCGGAGCUGCUCUUAACGAUAAGAAGAAUAAGAUUACAGAAGACAAAGAAGAAGAAGAAGAAGAAGGAGGAGACGAUGAAGAAGAUUUCCGAUGCAUCAUUAGUAGGCAAAUGGUUGGAAUAUUUAUAUCUGUUUGGGUUUCAAGUGAUCUAUGCCAAUACAUAAGACAUCUCAGUGUCUCAUGUGUUGGCUGUGGUAUCAUGGGUUACCUAGGGAACAAGGUACAGAAUAUUAAGUAAUAAUUAUAAUCCAUUCACCGUAAUUUAUUAUGAAUGAAUUUAGAUCAAUUAUUCAAAUUAAAUUUUUACUUCUACAAUUUCUAUACAUAUAUAUCGUGAAUUAACAUAUUGUCACGUAUACGUAUAUGUAGGGUUCGGUGUCAGUGAGAUUUUGGUUACAUGAAACAAGCUUUUGUUUUGUGUGUAGCCAUCUAGCUUCUGGUGGUAAGAAAGGAGAUGAGAGACGAAGAAAUGCAGACGUCGCUGAGAUUUUGUCUCGAACAACCUUUCCUGCAGGACCUUUCACUAAUUUCUCCACAAAAAUUCUUGAUUACGAGUACGUAUGUAUAUGCAGAGCAGCAUAGCAUGCAGCAGGGGCUGUUUGAUAGCAAUUUUUAAUUUAUUUUGUUAUUUCUAAAACUAUUGAAUACUAAGUAAUAUAUACGUGCAGUAGGGUAAUUUGGCUUGGAGACCUAAACUACAGAAUCUGCUUGCCUGAUGCCACAACGCAAUAUCUUGUGGAGAAGCAAAAGUGGAACCUUUUGUUGGAAUAUGAUCAGGUACUUAAUUCGCAUUUCAACCGUCAUCUUGGAGUUUCAGACAAAUUAUACCAUGUUAUGUAGAAAGACUUUUGCAUGACAGAGUUAUUAUUAUUAGCACGGGACGCCUAUUAAGACGUCAUGGUAUCGGAGUGCUUGUUUCAUGAAAGUCUUUCUUGAGUGUUUGUUGGUUUAAGAUUUUAUAAAUAAUAUAGAUAAUUAUUAUUUUUUGUUUUAAAGCUUAAGGUGGAGCUCAUGGAAGGACGUGUAUUCGAAGGUUGGCAUGAAGGACUAAUAAACUUUGCUCCAAGCUACAAAUAUUACCCAAAUUCGGGGCUUUACUUUGGCUGUGAUCAGAAGAGAAAAUACAAAAGGCGUGCUCCGGCAUGGUAAUUAAGCAUCAUAAACUGCCCAUUAAUCAAUGAAACGACUGCAAAACCAUAUUAAUUAAUGUACUAAGGGGUGGUUUUGUAGGUGUGAUCGAAUACUAUGGUUCGGGAAGGGACUCGAGCAAAAGCAGUAUGAAAGAGUCGAAUCAAGAUUAUCAGACCAUAGACCCGUCCGAGCGAUUUUUAUGGCAGAAACUGAGGUCUUGAGAGCUCCUAAAGGAAUUCACAGCUGAGAGCUCCUAAAAGAUUUCACAGCUUUAUGUCGGACGUAUUUAGAACUAAUUUGGAUGUACUUUUAAAUGACUAAAAGCGCUUUUGGUGAAAAAUGUUUUUGAAACCAAUCCUCAGUAAAAAUGCAAGUAAAUCAUGAAAAAGCUAGAAGAAGCACAUAGUUGGUGUUUCUUGCAGAAAACACAGUGCUUUUGGAACCGAAAAACACUUUCUCUAAAAGUGCUUUCAGCCAUUUUAAAAGUACAUUCAAACGAGCCCUUAUUUGCUUGCCAAAUGAUUUCGAAGAAUAUUUUAAUGACAAAUAUUCAUGUAAAUGGAGAUCAAGCUUCCAUUAUUGAGCAUAAACUGCAAUUACUCCGCUUUGAUCACAAGAAGAUUCAAAUCUAAAACAAAAUCAAAGCAGCCAAACGGAAACUAAUAAAAUUCUCAUUUCUCAAGUUGCCAUUACAGUUUAACUUGGUGUAUAUUUAAAGGAAAUUCCGUAGCUAAUACCGCUCCCUUAUCCAUAAUAGUAUCAGAUGAGUAGCAUAUGUUGAUGGUAUUUAGCCAACAUUUGAGUUUCAACAAAACGAACGCCGCAGGUUUUCAUAUCAAUGUACACCGACACUAAUAGCAAAUGCAAGAGAGAAGUAAACUUAGCGAAUGAAGAAGCAUGUAGGGACAAAAUAAGGUUGUUUGUACAUAAAAUGAGAUUGUAAAGAUGUAUUAGAUGUUUCAGAUAUUGACAAGUGUACGUAGAUUAGGUUGCUAGGUAGUUAAAGUUGUUAACUUACUUAGUGACUAAGAUAGCCUUGUCUAUAUAUAUGUAUAGCUAUUGUAACACAAUUCAUUCAUUCAAUACAUACAAGAUACAAUUCAUUUCUCUCUCUAAGAUAGCUAUUCUCUCGAAUCUCUCUUUCUCUCUCAAGAACACAUAUGAUGAACAAGAACUCCUUUGUAUUCUGACAUGGUAUCAGAGCCAGGUUAUGACGAUUUCUCAAUCCUGAUCUGCUUUGUUUGCUUCCGCAUUCCUGAUCACUUUGUUUUGGUGUGAAUUUCUGCUCUUUGUUUUUCAUCUCUCUAUAGCUCUGUGAGGUUGUAUCUGCGCAGUUGCUUUAUUGACGUAUAUGUCUCAUUGUGCACACCAAGUGUUCGAUUAAUUGCUUCAUACAAGAUCUGUUUGCAUUGAUAUCAGCAGUUUACAAGAUUUCUCCAAGUUGAAUUCUUGUGAUUUUUUGUCCGAUUUCUCUUUCUGAAACCGUAAUUUUGUGAUUGUUUUUCACGAAUUCUCAAACUCUUGCAAAUAUGGUGACUGCUGCACAACUAUAGAUUGUACAGUCUCAAAUCACGAAUCUCAUUACGAAUGUCUCUAAUUCUGUUACUGUGAAGCUUGAUGAUACAAAUUAUCUUGUAUGGAAUUAUCAGAUUCGAUUACUUCUUGAAAGUCAUAGUAUUUUUGACUUUGUUGCUGGAACUCAUCCAUGUCCUACUCGGUUUAAAGAUGAUUCAGAUGUUGAAGGUGUGGAAACUGAGGAGUUUCAGAUUUGGAAAAUGCAUGAUCGUGCUCUCAUGCAGUUGAUCAUUACUACACUAUCUCCCACAUCCAUGUCUUGCAUCAUUGGUUGUCUUACUUCUCAUGAUAUGUGGACUACUUUGAAGGAUAUGUUCUCCACCGUCAUGAAAGCAAGUAUUUUUCAGUUGAAAACUGAGUUGCAGAAUAUCAAGAAAGGCUCUGAUUCUGUCUCUCAAUAUCUUCAAAGGAUCAAGUAUGUACGAGAUCAUCUCUCUGCUGCAGGAGUAAUCUUUGAUGAUGAUGACAUUGUAAUCUUGGCACUUAAGGGCUUGCCUGCUGAGUAUAAUAUUUUCCGAACAGUUAUAAGGGGGAGAGACAAUGUUAUUUCACUUAAGGAUUUCAGGUCUCAGCUAUUAGCCGAAUAAGCUGUUGUUGAAAAUAAUUCUGUGAGUGAAUCUUUUGUGUCUGCAAUGAUGGCAAAUGAGAACAAAGGAAAAGGAAAGGCUAUGAUGUUGGGAGAAUGGUCUAAUCAAACUCAAUCACAGACCUAUAGUCAUAAUGGUUCAAUCAAUGCUGGUACUUAUAAUGGUGGUUAUUCUAAUCAUAAUAGAGGGUACAUUUUCAGCUACAGAGGCAGAGGAAGAGGUAGAAAAACUAUAAUUCAACUCCUCGAUUCAAUUAUGGGUUUUCCAAUUCCAGUGCAGGAAUUCUUGGUCCAGGAAAACCACAUGUUUCUACAUGUCCUGACCAUGGUUAUGAUAUUCCAACAUGCCAAAUUUGUAACAAACGAGGACAUGUUGCUGUUGAUUGCUUCCAGAGACAUUCAUCCUCUCCUAAGCCAUCUUCUAGGCCACAGUGUCAAAUUUGUUGGAAAUUUGGACAUACUGCCUUAUAGUGCUAUCAUCGAACCGAUUUCUCACACUAAGGAAGGGCUCCAUCUUUUACUCUAUCUGCUAUGUAUACAAAUUUUCAACCAUCAGCACAUUCGGACCAGUUUUGGGUGGCUGAUACAGGAGCAACAUCUCACAUGACUUCUGAUUUGGCAAACCUUAAUCUUGCAACUCCCUUCUCUGGUGCAGAUACCGUAACCACAGCCAGUGGUUCAGGUUUGAACAUAUCUCAUAUUGGUUCCAGUACACUAAGAACACCUCAAUAUGCAUUUGAAUUACACAAAAUUAUGCAUGUUCCUCAUAUAUCUCAACAUUUAUUAUCCAUUUAUAGACUUUGUAAGGAUAACAAAUGUCGAUUUAUAUGUGAUGAGUUUUCUUACUGGAUCCAGGACAAGGUCACAGGGAGAAUACUUCUCCAGGGAUUGUGUAGAGCUGGCUUAUAUCCCAUUCCCUUCUCUCUUCCACAACAUCUCAUCAAUAAAGCACAUCAACCAUCUGCAUUCACUUCCACACAAUCCUGUUUUCUUGGACAGCAAGUCAAAAUAACGUUGUGGCACCACAGGCUCGGCCAUCCUUCCAACAUUGUGACAUCUGCAAUGUUAAAACACUCCAAUAUCCCUAUGCCUGUUUCUCAUGUGUCUUCUAUUUGUAAAUCAUGUUUAGAGGGCAAAUUUACCAAACUUCCUUUUGUUUUCCCUGCAAAUAAAACUGUAAAACCCUUGAAGGUGAUACAUAGUAAUGUUUGGGGACCUUCAUCUACUGUUUCGGUUGAAGGUUACAAAUACUAUGUUACAUUUGUGGAUGAAUGUACUAGGUUUACUUGGAUCUUUCCAUUGAUUAAUAAAAGUGAAGUGUUCAAUAUCUUUGCUCAUUUUUAUCAGUUUUUUGAAAACUCAAUUUUCUGCCCAUCUUAAAGUAUUUCAAAGUGAUGGAGGGGGUGAGUACUCCAGUCAUCAAUUUAAACAUUUCCUACUUGAUAAGGGUAUAGUUCAUAAAAAAAUCAUGCCCUUACACCCCUGAGCAAAAUGGUAUUGCAGAAAGAAAGCAUUGAUAUAUUUUAGAAACUGCCAUCACCCUUCUACAAAAUGCUUCCAUGCCCUCUAAGUAUUGGUUUCAUGCAUGUGCCCUGUCAAACCUUGCACAUGUUUUCACCAUAUAAAUGUCUUUUUGGUCGACCUCCUCAAAUUUCUCAUCUUAAAAUCUUUGGUUGUGCAUGCUAUCCUCUUUAAAACCCUAUAAUACCACUAAGAUGCAACCCAAAACAACUCAGUGUGUGUUUCUAGGAUAUGCAGGACAAUACAAAGGUUAUUUGUGUCUUAAUCUUCUUACAAACAAAAUCAUGGUUUCCAGACAUGUGUUAUUUGAUGAAUUUGAUUUUCCAUUUUCUACUUCUCAGCACUCAUCCACUCAAUCUCAUAACAUUUUGUCUCAGUCACAAGUGUUUGUUCAUAUACCACGGUCCUUACCACCCUUAGUCACUUCCCAAAACCUAGUCAUACCUCCUCAACCAUCUUCUUCACUUGCUCCAUCCCCUACAGCCUCAGAGUCUUCGAAUUCUCUAUCUCCUAGAUCCAUAGAGUUAUUGCCAACAUUUCCCUCUAAUGCCUCAGAAUCUUUGGAUUUAUCUACCCAUGAACCAGCAUCUUAGAGUUUUACACAGUCUCAAAUCCCUAUUGAUCCAGAUUUUCAAAAAGAACAACUACCUGUUGUUCUUCCCAUUCCCUUGGUUAGUUUGCACCCCAUGCAAACUAGGUCCAAAAGUGGAAUCUCAAAACGAAAAGUGUUCACAACAACUGUUCAGACAUCUGCAAAAGGCACUGAACCUACUUCCUACAAAUUUGCGUGUAAAAGUCCUGAGUGGCAAGCAGCUAUGAAAGAAGAGAUAGAUGCUCUUCAUGCUCAACAAACUUGGAGUCUAGUUCCUCUACCCUCUGGGAAGAAUUUGGUUGGCUGUAAGUGGGUAUAUCGGAUCAAAACACACUCUGAUGGUUCUAUAGCUCGGUACAAAGCCUGGUUGGUUGCCAAAGGAUAUAAUCAAGAUGAAGGUAUUGAUUAUAGUGAGACUUUCAGCCCUGUUGUUAAACCAACCAUUGUGAGGUUGAUUCUGGCUUUGGCAGCUCAAUUCAAUUGGUCAUUGCGCCAAUUAGAUGUCAAAAAAUGCAAUCUGCAUGGUAAGUUAAAUGAGGAAGUGUAUGACUCAACCUCCUGGAUUUCAGAGUGCAGUUCAUCCUUCUCAGUAUGUGUGUAAGCUCAAUAAGUCAUUGUAUGGGUUGAAGCAAGCUCCCCGAGCUUGAAAUGAAAAAUUUACAAGCUAUUUGCCUGGUUUGGGUUUUAAGUCAUCUUUUGCAGAUCCUUCAUUAUUUGUUAAACAUAUUGCUGCUGGUACGGUUGUGUUGUUACUCUAUGUGGAUGAUAUUAUUCUUACAGGCAGUUCAUCUAUACUGAUUGAUGAUGUUAUUGUGGAAUUAACCAAAGAGUUUGAAAUGAAAGAUUUGGGUCAGUUGAAAUACUUUAUGGGGUUGCAGGUUACUUAUCAAUCUGGUGGCCUGUUUGUCUCUCAGUCUAAAUACAUCAAGGAUAUGUUAAACAAAGCUGAUUUGCAAGAUUCCAAGCCCUGUCCUACUCCUUGCUUACCAUAUCACAGACUCCUCAAAGAUGAUGGCGCUCAUUAUCACAGUCCAGAGCAAUAUAAGAGCAUUGUUGGGGCCUUGCAGUAUGUGACUUUUACAAGGCAAGAUAUAGCCUUUUCUGUCAAUCAAUGCUGUCAAUUUAUGCAUUCUCCCAUGACUUUCAUGUUGUUGCAAUCAAGCGUAUUCUUUGAUACCUUAGUGGAACAAUAGACUAUGCUCUAAGCUUCAAACCUGGAAAAUCACAUCUGCAAGCAUACAGUGAUGCAGAUUGGGCGGGUGAUACUAAUGAUCGCAGAUCAACUUCCAGACAUAUUGUAUACUUUGGUUCAAGUCCAAUAUCUUGGGCUUCUAAGAAGCAACACACCGUGUCAAGAUCUUCGACUGAGGUAGAAUAUAGAGCACUAGCUAUUGCAGCUGCAAAAUUGGCCUGGAUUCAACAAUUAUUGUGUGACCUGCAUGUUUCUGUGUUCACUGCACCAGUGAUCUACUGUGACAAUAUUUCAGCAAUUGCUUUAUCUUCUAAUCCCGUCUUUCAUUCUCGGGUGAAGCACAUUGAAAUAGAUUACCAUUUUGUCCGGGAAAGGGUGAUUCAAGGAGAUUUGAAUGUUUGUCAUGUGUCUUCCAAAGAACAAUUUGCUGAUAUUCUCACCAAGGGCCUUGCUGCACCUUUGUUUCAGUCUCACUGUUCCAAUCUCAUGCUUAGUUCGAUCAAACAUGAGAUUGCGGGGGAUGUAAAGAUGUAUUAGAUGUUUCAGAUAUUGACAAGUGUACGUAGAUUAGGUUGCUAGGUAGUUAAAGUUGUUAACUUACUUAGUGACUAAGAUAGCCUUGUCUAUAUAUAUGUAUAGCUAUUGUAACACAAUUCAUUCAUUCAAUACAUACAAGAUACAAUUCAUUUCUCUCUCUAAGAUUGCUAUUCUCUCGAAUCUCUCUUUCUCUCUCAAGAACACAUAUGAUGAACAAGAACUCCUUUGUAUUCUGACAGUUAUCACAACCGCCAUGCAGCAAACUUAGCUAAUGGAAAAUACCCUCAAUUGUCGAGUAAGAAUUGCAAUUACUAUGCUGUGAUCAGAAGAACCAAACGCAAUAGUUUCUUUCUACGUUGUGCGAUUGGCGGUGGUUUUGUACGGCAGGGGGAAAAGCAUGCUAGUGAUUCUGUGAGUUCAAGAGUAAUAAUACUGAACAUAUUGCAGCAACUAAGUUGUUAUAGUUCAUGCAUUCUGCUGGAACUCUAUAAUCUGGUACCUCAAUAGCCGGAUUCUGCCCCUUGGUGGAGCGCUGAGUUUAACAUCAUGUUAAGCCAGAUGAACCUUCUCAAGUGGUUCCUGAUAUUCAUAAUGAUAAAAAAAAAGAAGAAAAAUAGAUGAAUGAUAGUGCGUAUGUAUAUACGAAACAAAGUACAAAAAACCCAUCCUGCAAAUGGACACAAAAGCCAAUAGAAAUAAGAUGCAAUGCAGAGUAUUUUGCUUAAAACAGGAUAUCUUUGAAAAUGCUUGUAUCCAAUUACAAAUGGAGCUUAUUCUGAUCUGGUUGUAACAGACACAUACCUCCAAGAUAGCUUUAGCCUCAUUACUGAACGCUUUGCAAAGAAUUUCAUAACUCUUCUCAAUCCCUAUCUGCACAAACAAUAGACUUCAUAAGAAGACAUAGUGAACAAAAUGGUAAUUCUUCUACGUAAUUCAGCCACUGUAGAUAGUUUGCCAAUAAUCCCUUACCAAUGGAUCAACUUGUGAUGGUGAUAUAGUUGAUAUGAUGUAUCUGUUGAAAGGAAAAGAAAUCUGAUCAUUCGAUGCAAUGGAAAUAAAAAAGCAUCAUUAUAAAUUUGUUGAACAAAGCACCAUGAUAUCAUCACGAACUAAACUUCAAAAUGAAGCAAAUUGUAUGUUUUCAACAACAUAAAACUUGUCUGUCGGCUUUUCAGCAAACCAGCCAAUCAACAUGGCCUUAUGCAGCGGUUACUAAUAUAGUUGCAUCAAAAUGAACAACAUAUGCAUCUUAAAAACAUCCCACCUAGGAUCCACAAAUUAUUGGUAAUACACUUCAUCAAUCUGCUAUUGAAUAACUGUUAUGACUAAUACUACAUGGAAAAGAAAAGUAUAUAGGCGCUACAGUUCUUCCAAAUGUAAAAGCUGGUAAGCAUGAAGGUGAAAAAUAAUUCUCUUCCUUUUAUCAGCAGCAUCGCUCUAGAAAACUGAAACUGACACAUCAUGGAUGAAAAACUCUUUUACAGGUUUCACUGUUUUUAAGUCCUUCAAGUAGUAUAUACAAGCAAAAAGUUUACCUCAUCUUACUUAAAUAUAAAUUCAUGGCUACCGAGUUUGACUUUUGGACAGUUAGAACGACAGCGCCCAUGUGGUUCUACAAAGAUUGAAAAUGCUAGAUUAAUUGCCAAGAUGAAAAUAAACACGGAAUGCAGAUAAGUUGGUUUAAGAAUCAUUUCGUCAAGCCAUCAGACAUUCUCCUUCCAUCUAGAUUUUUAUUCAGCUGUCUGUUAAAUACAUGCUUAAAAUGGGAGAUGGGACAUAAUCAGCACCUUGCGAGCAAUUAGCUCAAUUAGUUGCAUUAGGAACUUCCCCAGACCUUUCCCUUGUACGCGAGGCUCAAGUUGCAAUUCAUACACAUAAAGAACAGGCAAUUCUUCCUCUAUGACAAAUCGAAAAUGUACAAACCCAACCAUGGGCCCCCUCUCCUCACAACUAGCUGAGGUCCUUUCCUGCUCCGACAUUGUUAACAUGUCACUAGCACUUGCAUUUGAAGCCUCGCGUACAAAUAUAUAACGUGCUUCAGGUGCAACCAUCUCCCUGCGCUUCACCUUCUCCUCCACCAGCCACUCAGAUCCAUAAAGCCCCUCCAUAUUUGCCUAAUCAUUUCCCAAAACUUGAAUUACUUUUGCCCGCAAAGAGUAAAUAAAUCAAAUGAGAGCAUUUUGGACCUUGCAGAAUUUGGUGGAGUUACGAAAAAAAAACAGACAGACGACUUCAAAUACCUUAAGAAGAUUUUGUAUGUAAUGCUUUAGGGUAGACGAAAGCUUGUCCCCUCGUCCUGAUUCCAACAAUGCAGACAGGCCUAAACAUCCAAUAUAGCAUUAAGCAUUGCAGGAAAUUUUGUCUUCCAAAUAAAAUCGUGAGGGAUUUAAACUUGAAACAAAGCAAGACUGACUGCAUUAUCACCAAGAAACUUCCUAACCAUCUACCACUGAGACGACCACAAGCUCACCACUUUCAUACAAAAAUCGAAAAACCCGAAAAGGAAAUGUUGCCUAAACAGAAGCAGAAAAGAAACUAGAAAAAAAGCCCAGCUUGAGAUUUCAAAGUGCGUUUGCUUAACGGCGAAAGGCAGGGAAAGCAGAAAGAUGGUCUUUUUCGGAAGAAGCUGCUUUCAACAGUGCAUCCAUGGCCUUCUUCUUCUCGAUUAUCUGGAAAUCCAAAACAAACGUGUACAAUUAACGGCUGCGAUUGCUUCAAAGUGUAGGGGAAGAGUGCGAUUCUACCUUUUGCGGGAUUGCUUUCUUUCAUUGAUUUGUCUCCAUUGGCGCUCCAAUCAACUCUGUCCGUUCGGGACUCCUAACUUUUUAAAAUUUAAAGUUUAUUUUUGCCGAUUAAGAUCUCAAGAAACAAGCUCCCACAAACUAAAGUGGCGGAAUAAAGUGGAACAAGAUCCGAAAUUCAGAGAUUAAUUAAUGCUUAAAGUGGAUAAAACUUUGAGCAGGAAUUUCUAUAAAGAAGGGCAAAAGGAAAAUUGCUGACCUGACUCUCUCUCUUCUGUCAUGCAACACUGAUACAUAGGCAAUCUCCUUCUCACUGGCAGAACUCAUCCAAGCAGGAAAAACGACAGCUCAUCUUCUCCAUCCGAAAAAUUCACCUUACUUGAUUUCACUUUAAAUUUUUACCAGUACAUUUAAAAAGAAAAAAAGCUGAAAAAAUGGAAAUCUUUGAAAAUGAGAGAAUGGCAAUUUUGGUAUUGUGUUUCAAGUGGUGGUUGGUUUGAGGGCAAAUUAAAGUCGAAACGUUUGGCUUCAAAGACUAGUUUCUCAGGUCAAAUUUUUUUUUUCCUUCCUUUCACGUUCUUGUGAAAUUUGUCGAUGCCAGCAAUUACGUGUCAAAAGUGAAAAGAGAAUGGAUGGAUCUGCGGUCGGCUGGCGAAAGUACUUGAACCGCGAUUGCUUCUUGGUGUCUGAUUCUCAUCCGCCUUUACUCGGUUCCUUAAUCUGAUUAGCAAGGUUCUGUUCCCAAGCAAUCUUUUUUCCUUUCUUCACUUAUCAUCUUUGCACAAAUUUAGUUUUUCUCCAGUGGUUAAGACUUAUUCUGGAAUCAAUAGUUGAAAACAUUUUUUAAGCUUUUUAUCUUAGAAAAAGUUAGUUGCCGUGCGGAAGUGGCAAAGGAACAGUAUAAAGCUUCAAAUAGUGGAUGCCCCACUUCAGUGGCUUUGAAGGCUCUUAAAAUGAACUACACUUACGAACGCUCUUUGCGGAAUUCCCAGUCUUUUUUAAAUACAUGAUCGUACUUUGACCAAUUCAAGUUCGCCCUCCCUCUUGUUCCUCGCCAUGCCUCAAGGCUGAAAGCUUUUCUUACUUAUUUUCUUGCUUCUGUUUCCCGAUUGAAUCUCUCAUGAUCUCUUUCUUCCUCCUGAUUAGUGGUCUUGCUCAGGUUGGUUAGAUUUUUUGGUAAUUCAUCGAGUUUUCUUUCAAGAAAAUUUGUGAGGCCUUGUACUCAGUUUCCUCGAUGGUUUUUAGUUUUGUUUUUAUUAACUUCUUCAUAGGUAUCCUGGUGCGUUGUAGCUUUUUGUGUCACCUGUAACUAUUUAAAACCUUAAUAAAGUUAAUUUUAAGUUUUGAGUGAGCUGGACAUGCGGUUAAGGAAUUUUCUGGCCAAGGUUUGUUGUUUUGAAACUAUAAUUUUAAUGCGAUUAUAUCAGGUUCGAUACCCUUUUACAUGGUUUGUGCAUUUUUUGAUUUUUGGACGUUUUGAAAGCUUUGGUUAAUUGUUACCUAAUGAAUUGUUAGAGACUAUUGUCACUUCGAAAAUUAGGCUAGAUUAUUGCGGAAAUAGUAUGCCAUUGUGGAGACAAAUUUUAUCAGAUAUGGUAAAGAUCUAUUGCCUGCAAGUGUACGUUGUGUGGAGAGGUCAACUCUGCCUUAUUUCCAAACGCUGCUAAAAACCAAUUAUUUGUGUUAGAAUUUUUCCGUAAUUAGAAUGUAAUCUUUUAGCGAAAUUCGUAGAAUGAUACCUGCUUAACCCUGAGUCUCUUGGACUAAAUGUGAUGAAUUGUACAAGUUGAACUAAUGCAGUGAACAUAAUACAGGGCUUUCAUAUUAAUUUUAUUGAUUCUACCAUGUUAAAUUUGCAGUCUGGUGAUCAAAUGUUUUUGUGCUGAGGGAUGUUUUUUGCCUCACCACAAUUUGAUUGAUUCAAUUCUAGCAGGGAUGGUCUCCUGCAAAAUUUAGUGCUUUUAAGUGCAACCCCUUUUGAUUUAUACUUGAUUUUACAUGAGGCGACUCUGAUCUGAUAUAAUUGUACUUUAGGGCAUCCGAGCUGUGACUGGUCCUUCGGGUUGUCUUCUUAUUGUCACGGUAUAAUUUCUACUUUGAAGUUUGUUUGUUGGGUUGUUCUGUGUAUAGUCGGGAUGCUAAAUGACAGCUAUGGCAAAAGUUUUGGAGCAUUCUGAAAGACCAUUACUGAUAACAAGUACAAACAAAAUAUAACAACAAUAGAAAAUGGAAAAUUGCACCUUAAUACAUAUUAAAUUCUGGAAUUGCUUCCCAGCCUCGUGAACAUAUAUGGUGGAAAUCAGUGAUUUCGGGAAUGUGGCUUUUUUUUCUUUCUUUUCUUUGUAUAUUCACAUAUAUUAUCCCUGAUAUAUGGAUAUUGCUAUCUGGUUGUUGACAGAAUUAUACUGGGGACCGUUUAAAUUUUGGUUUAGCUGCAGAGCAAGCAAAAUCAGAAGGUUAUAAAGUAGAGGUAUACAUUAAUUUGCAUAUUUCCUUAUAUAUUUUCAGUUUAAACCCUCUGAAGCAUGGUUAGAUUAAAUGAAAACAAUGAGACUGCCGUUUAAUGGUGCAGACUGUAAUUGUUGGAGAUGAUUGUGCAUUACCCCCGACUCGAGGAAUAGUUGGUCGAAGGGGUUUGGCCGGGACCAUUCUUGUUCAUAAGGUUCUCUCCCUCUCUCUUCUUUUUUGUCUCAACACUUUCCAUUUAUAAGUACUUUCAUUAACUAUUGUAUCCAGCCAGUUAAACAUUGUCUUUGUGUUAGAUAUUUGUCAUUUCAUGUAUGCAUGCGGGGUUAUUAUGAAGGAUGUUAGAAAUGGAGUGUUUUGUGUUUGAAGGGUUGGAAGCCUUUUCACCCAUGUCUUCACAUCCUAAUUAAAACAUGGUCCAUAGUACCAACUGUUAAUAGUAUCAGUAUUUUCCAUUAUUUUGAUUAAAUGGUUAAUUGAAAUCUGUGAUCUCUGUGACAUAGAUUGCUGGAGCUGCUGCUGCUGCUGGCCUUUCACUUGCGGAUGUUGCCGCAGAAGCAAGACGAGCAUCUGAAAUGGUUGGAACAAUGGGCGUUGCACUAUCUGUUUGCACAUUGCCUGGUCAGGUUACACCAGACCGUUUGGGUCCAGGAAAGAUGGAACUUGGUCUUGGAAUUGUAAGUUACUUUCUAUAAGCGACCUUGAUUAUAAAUUAAAAGGUCAAGCUCUAGUUUUCUAAUCAUGUUAAAACACCGACUCUUAUCUCUGGUUUGCAUACCAUAAAUUGGAACUCAUUUUAUCUGCUUAAAUUCUUCCAACCAUAUCCUCAUUUGAUUGUUUUGUGUUGUAAUUUCCAGCUUUUUGCACAUAUGGCCUGGUACUUAUAUUUACUUUUUAAAUACUCUGACAGACUGACUAAAACUUGAUUACUUUUACAGCAUGGAGAACCUGGUGCUGCUGUAGCUGAUCUUCAACCGGUGGAUGUUAUAGUUUCUCACGUUCUUAAGCAGAUAUUGUCUCCAGUAUAGCUUGAUACUUUCUUAUUAUGAACUUAGCAUUUUAACUACGUUACAUUUUGUGUUUUUUCCCUACAAACUAUUGAAUUAAGCUCCAAAUUUGUAAAAGAUUUAAUUACUAAUCUUUGCAGGAAACUAAUUAUGUUCCAAUUACUCGGGGUAGUAGAGUGGUGCUUAUGGUAAACGGGUACGUGGGAGAUUUUACUUUACAUGUUCAAUGAAUAUUCCAAUUAUGGGGAUUUUUAUUCUGUGCCAAGAGAACAUAUUUGUAAUCUUGUGCUUUUUUCCCUUGUGGCAGGUUAGGUGCGACUCCAGGAAUGGAACUGAUGAUUGCAUCUGGUAAAGCAGUGCCUAAGUUGCAGCUGGAACAUGGAUUGGCAGUGGAUAGAGUGUAUACUGGGUCGUUUAUGACUUCUCUUGACAUGGCAGGUUUGUCCUCUAGGCUCUGCCACAUGACAAGAGUUAAUUAGUUAUAUUAAUAAUUUAAACAUUCUUAAUAUUAUGUUUCUUCAGGUUUUUCUAUUUCUAUCAUGAAGGCUGAUCAAACUAUUUUGCAACGUCUGGAUGCUGCAACAAAGGCGCCAUAUUGGCCUGUUGGUGUUGAUGGUAUUUGAUUAUGGUGUUUGAACGCAUCUUCUUGUGUUUGUAUUUCUUUGUGAAUAGAAAUUGCUUUCGUGAAAGUCUAGUGACAUUGGUUUCAUGAACAAGUCAUAUUUCUGCUGUCUUAAAAUACAGUUAAUACAUACUACACUUCUUUAAUAACAUAUUUACUUAUCAAAAACUAAAAGUUUCGUCAAAUUUGGUAUGUUGAACUCAGUGGUUGUCCCUUGCAGGCAAUCACCCACCUGCAAAGAUUCCUGUUCCAUUACCUCCAUCUCGUUCAACAAAGUCUGAUGAGGUAUGUUCAAACCUUUGUUUGUACAGUUAGGCAUGUACAAUCAUAUUGUUUGACUUUGUACGCUUUCAAUAGCCAUUAGGUCGGCCAGCACAACUUAACGAACAAGGCCAGAUUCUUGAGGUGGCCAUUGAAGCAGCUGCAAAUGCAAUUAAAAAACUUAAGGACAAUUUGAAUGAUUGGGAUGGCAAAGUAGGUGAUGGUGACUGUGGGUCAACAGUAAGUCCUAGCCUUGAUCUCUAUUUACUUCUUGAUGAUAUGAUGCGUGCUAAAUCUGGCUCCUAAUUCUCUUGUCAUUUCCUGCUCAAAUCAUUUAACGUGUUACAUCUUAUGUUUUCGAUUGCAGAUGUAUAGAGGUGCAACAGCAGUUUUGGAAGACAUGAAAAAGUACAUUUGAUUUUCAGUUUUCUUUCUUAUUCGAUUAUUGAUAUCGUACCCAGUGCACAAGGCUCCCGCUUUACGCAGGGUCUGAGAGAGGUGAAUGUCGGCUAGCCUUACCCCCAUUUAUGGAGAGGCUGCUCCCAAGUCUCGAACUCGAGACCUACCACUCAUGGGCGAAGGCACUUGCCAUCGCACCAAGUGCGACCUCUUUAUUCGAUUAUUGAUAUGCUUAUGAAAAAUCUUUUUAAGUGGUUAUCAUCUUCUUUCAAUAGAAAACAACUUAAAAUGGUUUUUCACAGGCAUUUCGACAAUUCAAC
rnacentral:lncRNA from 1 species